rnacentral:lncRNA from 1 species
UUAGUUUGGGUCUAGUCCAUCACGUGAUUCUCCCAAUGACGUGAUCCAGUUAUCAAGCAACAACACCUUGUUCAUAAUCACAAGACACUGACUAUCAUCGAUCAACUGGCUAGCCAACUAGAGGCAUGCUAGGGAUGGUGUUUUGUCUAUGUAUCCACACAUGUAAAUGAGUCUUCAUUCAAUACAAUUAUAGCAUGGAUAAUAAACUAUUAUCUUGAUACAGGAAUUAUAAUAAUAACUAUACAUUUAUUAUUGCCUCUAGGGCAUAAUUCCAACAUUUUACUUAGGCGAUUCUGGAUCGCAGCUAAGUCCCCGAGUGCGGCAUCUCGUGCGCACUCGGAGUGAGUUGAUACUCAUGUAGUUGUCAGUUGUCUUCACAUCCACAUGAGUCUCAAUGAGGGUCUGCUAAGCCUCCGAGUGGAUCUCGAGGAUACACUCGAAGGAAGCUUUUACUUAGGCGAUUCUGGAUCGCAGCUAAGUCCCCGAGUGCGGCUGUUAGUGCACACUCGGAGAGAGUUUUUUUUACUUAGGCGACUCUGGGUCGCAGCUAAGUCCCCGAGUGCGGCUGUUAGCGCACACUCGGAGAGAGUUUUUACUUAGGCGAUUCUGGGUCGCAGCUAAGUCCCCGAGUGCGACUGUUAGUGCACACUCGGAGAGAGUUUUUUACUUAGGCGACUCUGGGUCGCAGCUAAGUCCCCGAGUGCGGCUGUUAGCGCACACUCGGAGAGAGUUUUUACUUAGGCGACUCUGGGUCGCAGCUAAGACCCCGAGUGCGUCUGUUAGCGCACACUCGGAGAGAGUUUUUUAGACCGGAGUCUGCAAAUGCGGAAGAAUUUUGGACCUGCAAAAAAUCAGUCUGCUUUGUAUUACUUCAAUGAUACUUGUUCUUUACAUUGCCUCCGUCGGCGGUCACGUGUAGAAGCGCUUCAGGAGAUCUCCGUUCCAUGCUCGCGGCUCGUCCGUUUCCCUGUCGAGGUUGUAGAGUCGAUAUGCUCCGUUGUUCAACACCUUAUAGAUGAUGAAGGGUCCUUCCCAGGCGGGAGCCAACUUGUGAGGUCUCUGCUGGUCCACUCGGAGCACCAGGUCGCCUGCUUGGAAUGUGCGACUCCUGACGUGCCGCGCGUGAAAUCGCUGCAGAUCUUGUUGAUAAAUUGUUGAGCGAGUUAGUGCCAUCUCGUGCUCUUCUUCUAGUAGAUCCACUCCGUCUUGCCUGGCUUGCUCCGCUUCGGCUUCGAAGAAGAGUUCGACUCGUGGAGAGUUGUGAAGCAAGUCACUCGGAAGGACUACCUCUGCUCCAUAAACGAGGAAGAACGGGGAUCGCCCUGUAGAUCUAUUUGGAGUUGUGCGGAGGCCCCACAACACCGAAGGUAGCUCGGUGACCCAUGCGCCGGCGGCAUGUCCAACUUCUCGCAGGAGUCGAGGCUUCAACCCUUGAAGAAUAAGUCCGUUCGCCCGCUCUGCUUGCCCGUUGGUUUGAGGGUGCGCCACAGAUGCAAAAUCCACUCGGAUGCCUUGGCCUGUGCAAAAACCUUUGAAUCUGUCCGAGUCAAAGUUUGUGCCAUUGUCAGUGAUUAUGCUGUGCGGGACUCCGAAUCUGGAGAUGAUGUCUCUGACAAAUUUGAUGACCGUAAGGGCGUCGAGCUUCUUGAUGGGCUUGGCUUCAAUCCAUUUGGUGAACUUGUCGACUGCUACCAACAGAUGAGUGAAUCCCCCUUGGCCUGUUCUGAAUGGACCGACGGUAUCUAAUCCCCACACUACGAACGGCCAAACAAGAGGGAUUGUCUUCAGCGCAGACGUUGACUUGUGGGAUUUGUUCGAAUAGAACUGACAGCCUUCGCAUCGGUCGACCAUAUCAUUUGCCAUUUCAUUCGCCUGCAACCAGAAGAAGCCAGCUCUGAAUGCUUUGGCGACGAUUGCUCUUGAAGAGGCAUGAUGGCCGCAGGUUCCCGAGUGAAUUUCUUCCAGGAUUAACUGUCCCUCCUCAGGGGAGAUGCAUCGCUGAAGGACUCCUGAAACACUUUCCUUGUACAACUAGCCAUCAAUGACGGUGAAGGACUUCGACCUGUGGACGAUCUGCCUCGCUUGGACUUCGUCCUCUGGUAAUUCUUGCCUCAGGAUGUAUGCAAUGAACGACACAGUCCAAACGGGGAUGAGAGCAAGAAUCUCCAUGAUCAAAUCCACCACAGCGGGGACCUCGACUUCAGUUGGGUCUGUUGAGCUCUUCGGUUGUACCGGUUCCUCUCUAAAAGGAUCUUCUUUCACCGAAGGGAGAUGUAGGUGCUCGAGGCAGACAUCACUCGGGACUGGUCUCCGAGUGGAGCCGAGUUUUGCCAACUCAUCAGCUGCUUGGUUUUUCAGUCGCGGAACGUGGUGAAGAUCCAGACCUUCAAACUUCUUCUCGAGCUUCCUUACUGCGUUGCAGUAUGCAGUCAUGGUGGGGUUCCUGACAUCCCACUCCUUCAUCACUUGAUUAACCAACAAAUCUAAAUCGCCAUAGACCAUCAGGCGAUGGACGCCGAGUGUGAUGGCCAUGCACAAUCCGUAAAGGAGAGCUUCAUACUCUGCCUCAUUAUUGGAGGAAUCUAAAUGUAUCUGCAACACAUACUUUAGCUUAUCACCUUUUGGCGAUAUGAUCACUACGCCAGCGCCGGAGCCAUUCAACAUCUUGGACCCAUCGAAGAACAUAGUCCAAUGAACCAAGUAGAUGUGAGUCGGUUGCUGUUGUUCUACCCAUUCUGCUACGAAGUCAGCCAGAGCUUGAGACUCUAUAGCCUUCUUGGCUUCGAACUUGAUGUCGCAGUAUAACAUAUCCAUAGCCCACUUCGCCACUCGGCCUGAUGCAUCUCGAUUGUGGAGGAUUUCCGACAACGGAGCAUCAGAAAUGACAGCCACCGAGUGGUCUUGGAAAUAAUGAGCCACCUUCUUUGCAGUCAUGUAGAUCCCAUAAAUAAGCUUUUGAUAAUGGGGAUACCUCUGCUUGGAAGGAGUCAGGACUUCGGAGACGUAAUAUACUGGCCGCUGAACCUUGUAUGCUUUGCCUUCUUAUUCACGUUCGACUGUGAGAACAGUGCUGACGACUUGAUUUGUAGCCGCGAUGUAUAGAAGAAGGGGUUCUUUACUGAGCGGGGCAGUAAGAACCGGCUGGGUGGAAAGCAGGGCUUUGAGGUCGUCGAACGCAAUCUGGGCUUCGUCUGUCCACUCGAAAGUAUCUGAUUUCUUCAUGAGUCGGUACAGAGGUAACGCCUUCUCGCCGAGUCAAGCGAUAAACCUGAUCAAAGCCGCUAGGCAACCUGUGAGCCUAGCCGCUCCAUUCGGACGAUGGUCCCGAUCUUUUCGGGGUUGACAUCGAUUCCUCGUUCGGAAAUGAAGAAACCGAGUAACUUUCCGCUGGGAACACCGAAUGAACACUUGGCAGGGUUGAGCUUGAUAUCGUACCUACGAAGGUUGGCGAAUGUUUCUGCCAAGUCAGUCAGCAGGUCGGAACCUUUGCGUGACUUGACUACGAUAUCGUCCAUAUAUGCCUCCACAUUUCGACCGAUCUGGUCAAGGAGGCAUUUUUGGAUCAUGCGCAUGAAAGUUGCUCCUGCAUUCUUCAAACCGAAUGGCAUAGUGAUGUAGCAGAAACACCCGAAUGGGGUGAUGAAGGCUGUUUUUAAUUCAUCCAGACCAUACAGACGGAUCUGAUGAUAGCCCGAAUAGGCAUCAAGGAAUGAUAAAUGCUCGCAACCCGCAGUCGAAUCGACAAUUUGAUCAAUGCGGGGGAGCGGGAAAUGAUCUUUCGGGCAGACCUUAUUGAGAUGCUUGAAGUCGAUGCACAUACGAAGGGACUUGUCCUUCUUGGGCACAAUGACAACAUUGGCGAGCCACUCGGAGUGGUGUACCUCGCGAAUGAAGUUGGCUGCCAAAAGUUUAGCCACCUCCUCUCCGAUUGCCUUCCUUUUGUGCGCGGCGGACUGACGCAGGCAUUCUCGGACGGGCCGAGCGGUAGGAUCCACAUGCAGUCGGUGCUCAGCCAACUCCCUUGGUACACCUGGCAUGUCAGCGGGCUUCCAUGCGAAAAUGUCCCAGUUCUCACGGAGGAAUUGGAUGAGCUCGGCUUCCUAUUUUGGAUCAAGGGUGGUGGAGAUGUUCGUCGGGGCGGCGGUGUCGUCCGUCGGGUGGAUGGUGACUUUCUUCGUGUCGCCCGCCGACUGGAAUGCGGACUCCGAAGCUGGCUUCUUCGAAUGCAUCAAGUCAGCGGGGUCGGCUGUCUUCUUGUACUCAUCCAGCUCGAGGAUAGCCAUCUGCUGAUCGGCAAUCCGCGACCCCUGCUGCAGACACUCUUCGGCCCGCUGCCGAUUGCCUGUGAUGGUGAUCACACCUUUGGGACCCGUCAUCUUCAGCUUCAAAUACACGUAACAUGGACGGGCCAUGAAACGUGUAUACGCCGGACGGCCCAGAAUUGCAUGGUAUGCACUCUGGAAGUCCACCACCUCGAAUGUCAGCUUUUCCUUGCGAAAGUUCUUGUCGGGGCCGAAAACGACGUCCAACGCGAUCUGGCCGAGCGACUUGGCCUUUCGUCCUGGGAGGACUCCGUGGAACUGCAUGCUGCUCUCGCUAAGUUUGGACAUCGUAAUGCCCAUCCCCUUGAGAGUGUCAGCGUACAUGAUGUUCAAGCCGCUGCCGCCAUCCAUGAGGACUUUGCGCAGUCGGACUCCUUCCACCACCGGGUCGACUACCAGAGCCUGCCUCCCCGGGGUGGGUACGUGUGCUGGAUGAUCUGACUGAUCAAAGGUGAUCGCAGUCUGAGACCAUUUGAGGAACGUGGGGUUGGUUGGGGUGGCCAUGUUCACCUCCCUGUUCACCAGCUUCAGUCGACUCUUGCUUUCCACGUCAGCAAAAAUCAUCAAUGUUGCGUGGACUUGGGGGAACGGAUCCUCCUUGUCCUCAUCAUCCUGCUCGUUGUCCUUUUCACUCGGCUGCCCUUCGUCGAACCCUUGGAUCAGGAGGCGACAUUGCCGAGUGGUGUGCUUCAGGAAUAUGGCGUUGCCUUCUUCGUCCAUCUUCGUGUGGAUUGGACAUGGCUGAUCCAGGAUGGAGUUCCUGAACUGCUUCUUCUUGGGGGUGUACUGAGCUUUCCCCUUGCCCUUGAACCUGGCAUUUGUAACGGCGGCUGCCUCUGCCUGCGGAGUGGACGAAGCUUUCUGCUUUUGCUUCCGAUUGCUGUUCCAUCUCCGUCGGCGACUGCCUUGUGCUUGCCGCUAUGUAUGCGGUCCUCUUCUUCGCCAUUUGCAUAGCGUGCGGCUAUCUCCAUCAUCUUGCUCGUGGAGAUGUCGUCCGUCCGACCGAACUUCAGGUACAGAUCUCUGUACCGCACGCCUGCCUUGAAGGCGCAGACUGCUUGAUGCUGUGUGACGUUCUCCACCGUGUGGUAGAGGGUCGUCCAGCGCUGGAUGAAAUCACGCAGGGGCUCAUUCUGCUUCUGGACACAGUGCUGGAGCUCCACGAGACCAGCAGGGCGUUUGCACGUGCCCUCGAAGGUCCUGAUGAACACUCGGGACAGAUCUGCCCAGCUGUAGAUGCUUGAUGGAGCCAACUGGUUCAUCCACGCUCGUGCCGAGCCGUCGAGCAUCAGGGGGAGAUGUUUCAUGGCGACCUGGUCAUCUCCGUCACCGAUCUGGACCGCCACUCGUUAGUCGUCCAACCACGUUUCUGACUUGGAUUCUCCAGUGAACUUGCUGAUCCCCGUCGCCAAUCGGAAGUUGGGAGGGAUGUCAGCUGAACGGAUGGUCCGACUGAAGCACUCGGGGCCAGAGACGAUGGUCCUGCUUCCACUCGGACGGUCUCUAUCGUGACCAUCACGGUGGGCUCGACUCCUGUCGACCUUCCUCUAGGUGAUGGCUUGGAUCAUAUGUGUCACCGACUGAACGCCGAUCAUCGUGAUGUCGGGGCCCGUAAGGCCCACCCCGCGGAGGGGUGCAUGAACGGCGACGAUCUUCGGGAUUCGUGGAACGGCUGCCCCCUCUGCGUCGCUGCUGAGAGUGGGGGUUGUAAACCGACCGAUGCGUGUUCGCGUGAACAGAACUGUUGUGGAUCCUGUUGUGCGACUGGGAGACCGCCAACUUCUGCUGCUGCGCCGUGUGCAACAGGGCACGAAUCUGCUCGAUCCCUCUACCAGCCUCUGAAGCAGUCGGUUGGAGGGAAUCGGCUAUCUUGGCAGCGACAGCGAGGUUGAGGACGGGUGUACGGAACACCUCGACGUUGCUCUGACGAGUGCGUCGACUAGCAGAACGGUGGUGUUGACGGCGAGCGCCGGACGAUUCGCCGACCUCGUGCUCGUUCCGACCAGUCCGGUGGGGACUUUCAUGGGAAUUUGCCAUGAGAACUUCGGCUCCAGGCCCGCGACCCAAGUACUCGGAAGGUAAUUCAGUCGGAACUGAGUCCAAGCACUGGGACAGCGGCGCGACCGCAACCGACUCGAGGACCGCCACUUGAGAAGACGCGCUCUAUCGCGCCUGGGCGUGUCGCACCCAACGUUGAAGCCGCGGACGGCGGGACCGCUUGUUGGGGCACGUGACGGGGGCGAAGAUCGACGCCAGGGCCGAUUGCAGAAGGAUGCCGCGGGAACCGACACGGAAGUGCGUAGCCCUGCGACUGGGAAGCGCCUCAACGUCGAGAGGCGCAUCCCGAAGCCAUGCCGAAUCGUCGAUGAUGAAGGAGAGUGCACCGAAGAGGAUCUCAAGACCCAUGCAUAAAUCUCCGCCGGACGACAUGAUGAAAAGAUGAAGUUGCAAACUCGCCGGAAGUCGCUUAGACGCCUGCCCCACGGUGGGCGCCAACUGUCGUGGGUAUAAGUCUGACAGUAGAUGUGUAGGGUACGAAAGGAUGGACAUAGCCUUAGCUACGGCGAGGUUGUAUGAGUUCAGGCCCCUCUACGGUGGAGGUAAAAGCCCUACGUCUCAGUGCUCUUGGGAGCUUAGUGUCGAGUGGAAUAUAGGAUUACAGUAAAUGCCAACCCCUGCACCAGUGGGGAAGGGCGGCUUAUAUAGAGUGCGCUGCCCUCCACAACGGCCCGGUGGACAUGGGUGGAAUAGUGGCGAAUAAAUGCCUACGUUACAGGUAACGUAUGCCUUAAAUGCUAAUAAUGGUGUAUGAAAACGUGUGACCGUUGCCCUCCUGUGAGGUUACGAUGUACAGAGUGGAAUUCAGUCAGUACGAUAAAUACGCUCCGAAUGCUCGUCACCGACUGGAUGAUGGGGGGUCCUUAGUUCAGACGGAACUGUCUAAGGGCCUUGCCCUCUAUGAAGGGUAGUCCUUGGGUAGGACCUAUAGAGCAGGCCUAUGACCCAACCCUGGGACUAUAACCCCAUCAGGAGCGUUUUUCCUCCUAUAAGACUUUGUCCAGGCUUGUCCCUUGCUACAAAAGGGAUUGGGCCACUUUGCUGCACCAUUGCUACUUUUGUUACUUGUUGCUUGCUACGAAUCAUCUCACCACACAAUCACUUGUUACUGAUGAAUUCAGUGCUUGCAUAUAUUUCCUUGUUGAAAACCACUUGUCAGAUCCUUCUGCUCCUCGUUGGGUUCGACACUCUUACUUAUCGAAAGGACUACGAUUGAUCCCCUAUACUUGUGGGUCAUCAAGACUCUUUUCUGGCGCCGUUGCCGAGGAGUGAAGCGCCUUUGGUAAGUGGAACUUGGUAAGGAAACAUUCAUAUAGUGUGCUGAAAUUUAUUGUCACUUGUCACUAUGGAUACUAAUCCUUUGAGGGGCUUGUUCGGGGUAUCUUCACCUCGAACGGAAGCACAAAGAGUUGCUCCUCAACCUGCUGCACCUACUGAAAAUAUUUUCUUUGAAUUUACUUCGGGUAUGCUUGAGAAACUGUUGGGUAAUCCUUUUACAGGAGAUGGAACAUCACAUCCAGACUUGCAUCUAAUCUAUGUAGAUGAAGUUUGUGGUUUAUUUAAGCUUGCAGGUUUGCCCGAGGAUCAGGUCAAGAAGAGGGUCUUUCCUUUAUCUUUGAAGGAUAAGGCGUUGACAUGGUAUAGGCUAUGUGAUGAUACUGGAUCAUGGGACUACAAUCGGUUGAAGUUGGAAUUUCAUCAAAAGUUUUAUCCUAUGCAUUUAGUGCAUCGUGAUCGGAAUUAUAUUUAUAAUUUUUGUCCUCGUGACGGAGAAAGCAUCGCUCAAGCUUGGGGGAGGCUUAAAUCAAUGAUAUAUUCAUGCCCCAAUCAUGAGCUCUCGAGAGAAAUUAUCAUUCAGAACUUCUAUGCUCGGUUUUCUCAUGUUGAUCGCACCAUGCUUGACACUUCUUGUACCGGUUCUUUUAUGAAGAGAGAUAUUGACUUCAAAUGGAAUUUAUUGGAGAGAAUUAAACUCAACUCUGAAUAUUGGGAGCUUGAAGAAGGUAAGGAGUCAGGUAUGAAUUUCACGUUUGAUUGCGUUAAAUCCUUUGUUGAGAUAAAUACCUUUAGUGAUUUUAGCGCUAAGUAUGGACUUGACUCUAAGAUAGUAGCUUCUUUGUGUGAAUCAUUUGCUGCUCAUAUUUAUCUCCCCAAACAGAAGUGGUUUAAAUAUCAUCCUCCUUUAGAAGUCAAUGUAGUUAAACCCAAUCCAGUUGAAGAGAAAGUCAUUGCCUAUAAUGAUCCUAUUGUUCCGAGUGCUUACAUUGAGAAACCACCUUUCCAUGUUAGGAUAAAGGAUCAUUCUAAAGCUUCAACUGUGAUACGUAGAGGACACAUUAGAACGCCUACACCCCCUGAGCAAAUUAGAGUUGAACCUAGCAUUGCUAUUAUCAAAGAUCUUCUGUCCGAAGAUGUUGAGGGACAUAAUAUUCACUUAUGUGAAGAUGCUGCUAGAAUUGUUAAACCUCACGCUAGAGACAAACGUAGGCCUGUUGUUGGCAUGCCUGUUGUUUCUGUUAAGAUAGGAGACCAUUGUUAUCAUGGCUUAUGUGACGUGGGUGCUAGUGUUAGCGCAAUACCUCAAUCCUUGUAUGAUGAAAUCAAAGAUGAGAUUGCACCUGUUGAGAUAGAGCCUAUUGAUGUCACUAUUCAACUUGCCAAUAGAGAUACUAUAUGCCCUGUGGGAAUUGUUAGGGAUGUUGAAGUCUUGUGUGGUAAAACAAAGUAUCCUGCUGAUUUCCUCGUUCUUGCUACCGCACAAGAUAGCUUUUGUCCCAUCAUAUUUGGUAGACCUUUUCUCAAUACUGUCAACGCUCAUAUUGACUGUGAGAAACAAACUGUCACUGUUGGCUUUGAAGGUGUGUCACAUGAGUUCAAUUUCUCCAAGUUUGGUAGACAACCUCAUGAAAAAGAGUUGCCUAGUAAGGAUGAAACUAUCGCCUUAGCUUCUAUUGCCGUGCCUCCUAUUGAUCCUUUAGAGCAAUACUUGCUUGAGCAUGAAAAUGAUAUGCAUAUGGAUGAAAGGGAUGAGAUAGAUAGAGUUGUCUUAGAACAAUAUCAUAUCCUUAAGAAUAACUUGCCUAUUGAAUUGCUUGGGGAUCCGCCCGCACCAAAGGGUGAUCCUGUGUUCGAGCUUAAACAGUUGCCUGAUACUCUUAAGUAUGCUUAUCUUGAUGAAAAAGAGAUAUAUCCUGUUAUAAUUAGUGCUAGCCUCUCAGAGCAUGAAGAAAAGAAGUUACUAAAAACUCUGAGGAAGCACCGUGCUGCUAUUCGAUAUACUCUUGAUGAUCUUAAGGGCAUUAGUCCCACUCUAUGCCAGCACAAGAUUAAAACUGAUCCUGAUUUCAAACCAAUUGCUGAUCAUCAAAGGAGAUUCAAUCCUAAGAUGAAAGAAGUAGUGAGAAAAGAAAUACUAAAGCUCCUGGAAGCAGGUAUUAUCUAUCCUGUUUCUCACAGCGAUUGGGUGAGUCCGGUGCAUUGCGUCCCUAAGAAGGGAGGCAUUACCGUUGUUCCUAAUGAUAAGGAUGAAUUGAUCCCACAGAGGAUUAUUACUGGCUAUAGGAUGGUGAUCGAUUUUAGGAAAUUGAAUAAAGCCACUAGGAAAGAACAUUGCCCUUUACCUUUUAUCGACCAAAUGUUAGAAAGGCUGUCUAAACACACACACUUCUGCUUUCUAGACGGCUAUUCUGGUUUCUCCCAAAUACCAGUUGCACAAUCUGACCAGGAGAAAACCACUUUCACCUGCCCUUUCGGUACCUUUGCUUAUAAACGUAUGCCUUUUGGCUUAUGUAAUGCACCCGCCACCUUUAAAAGAUGUAUGAUGGCUAUAUUCUCUGACUUUUGUGAAACGAUUGUCGAGGUUUUCAUGGAUGACUUCUCCGUUUACGGGUCUUCCUUUGAUGAUUGCCUCAGCAACCUUGAUCGAGUCUUGCAGAGAUGUAAAGACACCAAUCUUGUCUUGAAUUGGGAGAAGUGCCACUUUAUGGUUAAUGAAGGCAUCGUUUUAGGACAUAAAAUUUCUGAAAGAGGUAUUGAAGUCGAUAAGGCUAAGGUUGAUCCAAUCGAGAAAAUGCCAUACCCCACAGAUAUCUAAGGUAUAAGAAGUUUCCUUGGUCAUGCUGGUUUCUAUAGAAGGUUCAUUAAAGACUUCUCUAAGAUUUCUAGGCCUCUUACCAAUCUCUUGCAAAAGGAUAUUCCUUUUGUCUUUGAUGAUGAUUGUGAGGAAGCCUUCGAAAUACUUAAGAGGACUUUGAUAAUUGCACCUAUUGUUCAACCACCUGAUUGGAACUUACCUUUUGAAAUCAUGUGUGAUGCUAGUGAUUAUGCUGUUGGUGUUGUCCUAGGGCAAAGAGUUGAUAAGAAGUUGAAUGUUAUUCACUAUGCUAGUAAAACUCUAGACAGUGCCCAAAGAAACUAUGCCACUACGGAAAAGGAGUUUUUAGCAGUCGUGUUUGCAUGUGAAAAUUUCAGGUCUUACAUAGUUGAUUCCAAAGUCAUUAUUCACACUGAUCACGCUGCUAUUAAGUACCUCAUGGAGAAGAAGGACGCUAAACCUAGACUUAUCAGAUGGGUUCUCUUGCUACAAUAGUUUGAUUUGCACGUUGUCGACAGGAAGGGUGCCGAUAACCCCAUAGCAGAUAACUUGUCUAGGCUGGAGAACGUUCUUGAUGACUCACAACCUAUUCAUGACAACUUUCCCGAUGAGCAAUUGAAUGUCAUCAGUACUUCCCGUAGUGCAUCGUGGUAUGCUGAUUAUGCAAACUAUAUCGUUGCUAAAUAUAUACCACCUAGUUUCACAUACCAGCAAAAGAAGAAAUUCUUCUUUGACUUGAGACAUUACUUAUGGGAUGAUCCUCACCUUUAUAAGGAAGGAGUAGAUGGUGUUAUUAGACGUUGUGUACCUGAACAUGAACAGGGACAUAUCCUACAGAAGUGUCACUCCGAGGCCUACGGAGGACAACAUGCGGGAGAUAGAACUGCACACAAGGUAUUGCAAUCAGGUUUCUAUUGGCCCACUCUCUUCAAGGAUGCCUGUAAGUUUGUCUUGUCUUGUGACGAAUGUAAAAGAGUAGGUAAUAUCGGUAAACGUCAGGAAAUGCCUAAGAACUAUUCACUUGUCAUUGAACCAUUUGAUGUUUGGGGCUUUGAUUACAUGGGACCUUUUCCAAAAUCCAAUGGGUAUACUCACAUCUUAGUUGUUGUUGAUUACGUCACUAAGUGGGUAGAAACUAUCCCCACUAGUAGUGUUGAUCACAACACAUCUAUCAGGAUGCUUAAAGAAGUUAUUUUCCCUAGAUUUGGAGUCCCUAGAUAUCUAAUGACCGACGGUGGUUCACAGUUCAUUCAUGGUGCUUUCCGUAAAACGCUUGCCAAGUACGAUGUCAACCAUAGAAUUGCGUCUCCCAAUCACCCUCAGUCCAGUGGUCAGGUAGAGCUAAGCAAUAGAGAAAUUAAACUAAUUCUGCAAAAGACUGUCAACAGGUCUAGAAAGAAUUGGUCUAAGAAGCUCGAUGAUGCACUGUGGGCUUAUAGGAGUGCCUAUAAGAAUCCCAUGGGCAUGUCUCCGUACAAAAUGGUGUAUGGGAAAGCAUGUCACUUACCUCUUGAGCUAGAGCAUAAAGCUUAUUGGGCAAUCAAAGAGCUCAACUUUGAUUUCAAACUUGCUGGUGAGAAGAGGUUAUUUGACAUUAGCUUGCUUGAUGAAUGGAGAACUCAGGCAUAUGAGAAUGCCAAGCUGUUCAAAGAGAAGGUUAAGAGGUGGCAUGAUAAGAGGAUACAAAAGCGUGAGUUCAAUGUAGGUGAUUAUGUCUUGCUAUAUAACUCUCGUUUAAGAUUCUUUGCAGGCAAGCUUCUCUCUAAAUGGAAAGGUCCCUAUGUUGUUGAGGAAGUAUAUCGUUUCGGUGCUAUCAAGAUCAACAACACAGAAGGUAAUUGUCCGAGAGUGGUAAAUGGGCAGAGAAUCAAGCAUUAUAUCUUAGGUACUCCCAUAAAUGUUGAAAGCAAUAUUAUCAAUACCAUAACUCCGGAAGAAUACCUAAGGGACAUUUAUCAGCUGUUUCAGACUCUGAAAACGAAGAGCUAUGUGAUUCGGUAAGAAAACAGAGUCCAAAACAUUUCUAGUAGGAAAUUUUCUCCGUUUUGGAAUAUUUGAAAAAAUACAAAAAUUGGAAGUAGUCCGGAAAGUGCGCGAGGAGGCGACAAGCCUGCCCGGGGCGGGCCCACCCCCCGGCCGUGCCGGCAGGGCUUCUGGCCACCUCGUGCGCCUCCCGGACUCUGUUUUCGUGCGGAGUACUCCUUCUGGUCUGGAAAAAAUAAAUAUAUAUUCUCCCGUGAGGUCUGACCCGUGUAUCACGCAGAUUUCCUUUGUUUUCGUUUCGAGCUUGUUUUCUACCGCAGAUUUAGAGCAAGAGGUCGUCCGAGGAAUCUGUAGGGGAGAACAAUCUCCCUCAAGUCUACGGAGAAGAAUAUGCUGACCUGAAAAGGAUGGAGGUCAUGGAGGCUAAGGAAAGGCUACCUAAAGAAACCAAGGGCAAAGCUAAGGAGAAAAAUCACGCAUGGAAUGAAGUGCAAUCUGUGCUCAACAAGGAAGAAGUUGAAGAAGAGGACUUCCUCCAACCCUACCUCCACCUACUGUCUCCAUCUUUGAUUGCACUCUUGAGGUUUUGUGAAACAAUUCGUGCUCGCAAUACUUGUCUCACUCAUGAAGUUGUUUUGCUGGAAAAACAUAUCGCAGAUCUCCAAGGUAUAAAUCAAAGAUUAAUGGCCCUCUUGGAGUCAAAGAUUGCAACAACUCCAUCACCAUCACCACCAAAGGAAGACAACUGAGCAUGGGUAUGGGCAAUCCCCUUGGCUUUUGCCAAGCUUGGGGGAGUUUCCCCGGUAUCGUAUCACCAUCACAUCUUUUGCCUUUACCUUUGUUUUAGUUUGUUCCUUUUCAGUUUUCUCUUUCUCUAGUAGUUUAAAGUCUUAGUGUUUUAGUCUUGAGUUUUGCUUUGUGUAACCCCCGAUGUAUUCGAGCUCGUGAGCCAUAUAAUAACGAGUGUCUUAGUUGAAGGGCUUUGCCUCUUGCCAUGAUCAAUAGAUUGAGAAAGAACAAAAGCAUGAAAGAUCAUGUAAUGAUCUUAUGGGAAGUGAUGGCUUCACAUAUAAAAAGAAUGAUGAUUAAAACUUGUUGAGGGUAGACAAACGUAGACCUUGGUCAUUGUUGCAAUUAAUAGGAAGUGAUAAGGAAGGAGAGGUUCACAUAUAAAUAUAUCAUCUUUGACACCAUCUAUGAUUCUGAACACUCAUCAAACUAUUGCAUGCCUAAGAGUAGAUGUUGGACAAGGAAGACAACAUAAUGAAUUGUGUUUGCUUGGUUCCGAACAAUGUUAUGUGACUAGAGAUCCCUUAGCAUGUGACGAUUGAUUCCACCUCAUAUUAGCCAAAACUCCCGCACCAAGUAGAGAUACUACUUGUGCAUCCAUAAACCUUCAACCCAGUUUUGCCAUGAGAGUCCACCAUACCUACCUAUGGAUUGAAAAAGAUCCCUUAAGUAAGUUGUCAUCGGUGCAAGCAACAAAAAUUUCUCUCUAAUAUGUAUGAUCUAUUAGUGUGUGGAAAAUAAGCUUUGUACGAACCUGUGAUGAGGAAGACAUAAAAGCGACAGACUGCAUAAUAAAGUUCUUUAUCACAGGAGGCAAUAUAAAGUGACGUUCCUCGGCACUAAGAGGACACACAUCCAAACCUCAAAGCGAAUGACAACCUCUGCUUCCCUCUGCUAAGGGCAUAUCUUGUACCUUUACUUUUUGCCCUUGAAAGAGUUAUGGUGAUCUUUACCAAUUCCCUAUUUCGCCUUUAUCUUGGCUACCAUCAUAUGCUAGGGAAAGAUCUAUAUUCUUAUGUCAACUUGGAGGUAAGCAUUCAUGAAUUAUUGUUGUUAACAUUACCCUUGAGGUAAGCAGUUGCGAGGCAAAAUAUAAGCCCCUAUCUUUCUCUGUGUCGAGCUGAAACUUUGAUCUCAUGAGUACCACGUGAGUUGUAGCAAUUGUAGAGAAUGAAAAGAUGAUUGAGUAUGUGGAUUUGCUUUACAAGCUCUUAUUUUACUCUUUCUGAUGUUGUGAUAAAUUGCAAUUGCUUCCAUGACUAAAGGCUAUCGGUUGUUACUUCUCGGUAAGGUUCUUGAUCCAUGCUUUACUUUGUGAAGGAAUUGUCACUUUAGCAUCAGAGAUUAUAUGUUGGUAUUGCUGUUGUGAUCAUGAUCAUGAUGCAUGCAUGUUCGUAUCUUGUUUUGUCGACACCUAUCUCCCUAAACAUGUGGACAAAUUUAUUGAACUAGGCAUUCGCUUGAGGACAAGCGAGGUCUAAGCUUGGGGGAGUUGAUACGCCCAUUUUGCAUCAUGCUUUCAUGUUGAUAUUUAUCGCUUCUUGGGCUGUUAUUUCACUUCACGGUACAAUACUUAUGCCUUUUCUCUCUUAUUUUGCAAGGUUUACAUGAAGAGGGAGAAUGCCGGCAGCUAGAAUUCUGGCCUGAAAGAGCAACAAAGUUGAGAUACCUAUUCUGCGCAACUCCAAACGCCGUAAAAAUCAACGAGGAUUUUUUUCCGGAUUUAUAAAAAAUACUGGGCCGAAGAAGCACCAGAGGGGCGCCAGCAGGUGGCCACAAGCCUGCACGGCACGGCCACCCCCAGGCCGCGCCAAGGGGGCUUGUGGGAAGCCUGCUGGACCACUGGUCCCCCUCUUCUGCUAUAUGAAGGGUUUCGUCUCGAAAAAAAAUCAGGGAGGAGCUUUUUCGUGGAUUCGCCGCUGCCACGAGGCAGAACUUGAGCAGAACCAAUCUAGAGCUCCGGCAGGACGAUCCUGCCGGGGAAACUUCCCUCCCGGAGGGGGAAAUCGUUGCCAUCGUCAUCACCAACACUCCUUUCAUCGGAAGGGACUCAUCUCCAUCAACAUCUUCAUCAACACCAUCUCAUCUCCAAACCCUAGUUCAUCACUUGUAACCAAUCUCCGUUUCGCGACUCCGAUUGGUACUUGUAAGGUUGCUAGUAGUGUUAAUUACUCUUUGUAGUUGAUGCUAGUUGGAUUACUUGGUGGAAGAGUUUAUGUUCAGAUCCUUGUUGCUACUCAUUACCUCUGUGGUCAUGAAUAUGAUUAUGCUUUGUGAGUAGUUACUUUUGUUCUUUAGGACAUGGGAUAAGUGAUGCUAAUAAUAGUCAUGUGAAUUUGGUAUUCGUUCGUUAUUUUGAUGUGUUGUAUGUUGUUUUUCCUCUAGUGGUGUUAUGUGAACGUCGACUACAUAACACUUCACCAUUAUUUGGGCCUAGAGGAAGGCAUUGGGAAGUAGUAAGUACAUGAUGGGUUGCUAGAGUGACAGAAGCUUAAACCCUAGUUUAUGCGUUGCUUCGUAAGGGGCUGAUUUGGAUCCACUAGUUUAAUGCUAUGGUUAGACUUUGUCUUAAUUCUUCUUUCGUAGUUGCGGAUGCUUGCGAGAGGGGUUAAUCAUAAGUGGGAUGCUUUUCCAAGUAAGGAAAGUACCCAAGUGCCGGUCCACCCACAUAUCAAACUAUCAAAGUAACGAACGCGAAUCAUAUGAACAUGAUGAAAACUAGCAUGACAGAAAUUCCCGUGUGUCCUCGGGAGCGUUUUUCCUCCUGUAAGACUUUGUCUAGGCUUGUCCCUUGCUACAAAAGGGAUUGGGCCACUUUGCUGCACCGUUGCUACUUUUGUUACUUGUUGCUUGCUACGAAUCAUCUCACCACACAAUCACUUGUUACCGACAAUUUCAGUGCUUGCAGAUAUUUCCUUGCUGAAAACCACUUGUCAGAUCCUUCCGCUCCUCGUUGGGUUCGACACUCUUACUUAUAGAAAAGACUACGAUUGAUCCCCUAUAUUUGUGGGCCAUCAGACUCCGGUCCAUAUCACCGUCAUUGUUUACACCUCCAUCAUUUACCGCUUUCAUUUACUUUUCCGUUGCUAUCACUAUUACCUUGCCGCUUGUGUUUUGAUCCUUUGCAAACUACAAGUCGAGAGAGAUUGAUAACCUCUUUGUACUCGUUUGGAGUAAAGUUAUUUGUUGUGUGUGUAGGUCCACGUCUUCUGUUGACCAGGACAGGAGACACCUACUUAUUGAGCCUAGGAGUCCUCUUGGUUCGAUAAACCUUACAGUUUUCGUGUGAGGGAAAACUUGCUGGUGACUACAUCUCAACCUUCCACUUGGGGUAACCAACGAGGUGCGAGAAGUAUAUACAUCAUCUCUAAUCAGUCGCUCGCUUUGUUGCCGGCCCCAACAACUUGUCCAUAUUGAAGGUUGGCUAGUGUUCCAGCCACUGGCUAUGUUGCCGACGUGAAACUAGGGUGACCAUUUCUGUAGGCCGCUGGCUUUGUUGCCGACCGGCAUGGGAUGAACUGCCGAGAACGCGGCCACAGGCAUGAAAUAUCCACAAGUCCUUUAGUCUUUUCAUAUUUUUCAUGCACAAUGGAUGAGAUGCGACCGAAAUGCGUCCACGCGUUGGGUGCACGACCACCGGAUCCACAAAUCCUGAUAUUGUUUGCUCGACACACCUACUUGAGAGAGACACGUGUUCACCAUGAUUUGUUAGAAUACUCCAUGUGCUUCAUUUAUAUCUUUUGAGCUAAGAAGUUGUGAAAUCACAUAUGCUCUCUUUGUGGUUUUGAUAAUUCAUGACAACAUACAUUAUCCCUUGUACUAAUGGUUCUACCUAGUGUUUCAGAUUCUGUUCAAGAGAUUGCUGGUUGGGAAUGUGAGGAUAAGUCCCAAAGAAGGAGAAGAACAGGAUUGGCAAUGCAUCAAGCUUCAAGACUCUACAUUUUGCAUUUUGUGAGAAAUCACAUUUUAGUCCAUAGGAAAGCCAAUACUAUUAAAAGGGGAUGAGGUAUCUAUGAUGAUCUCGUUGCUCAAGUGCUUAGAGUUAGCCACCAAAACCCUCAUGAAUUCUCCCACAAAAUAUUCUGUCCAAACCCUAAAACCUAAAUUCGGUGCCACCAGUAUUUCCCAUUCAGCCCUACCGAGUUUUACCCUAGGCAGAAUUGAGAUCCAACCCUAAUCUCUCGGUGAAACCAAGUUCUAUUUCGAUCGUGCCGAAAAUCAGUGACCAACUCCCUCACAUCCAUUUGCUAAAAGUCAGAAUCUCUGAUUUUUACAAAUCGGUGCCACCGAGUCUGCAUAACUGCCUAGGCCAGCCAAAAUUGGACUCACCGAGUUUUGUAUAUCGGUCUCACCGAAACGCCGAAAGUUGCCAUAUUUUGCACUAGUCGGUGCAACCUAGUUUUUUUACUUCGGUUCCUCUGCAUUGUGAAAUAAUGUUGUAAUGGUUGGAUUUUGGAGAUGCAUAUAUAUACCCAUCCACUCCCUCUCAUUCGUAGAGAGAGCACUCAAAACAAGCCAACACUUGCCCCAUCCAUCUUUUGAGAUAGAACCACCUACUCAUGGGUUGAGAUCAAGAUAUAUUCCACUCCAACCAUAUGAACCUUGAUUUCUAGCCUCCCCAAGUUGCUUUCCACCCAAACAAUCUCUUCUAACAAGCCAAAUCUAUGAGAGAGUGAUUGAUUGUUGAGGAGACUAUCUUUUGAAGCACGAGAGCAAAGAGUUCAUCAUCCAUACCACAUCUAUUAACUUUUGGAGAGUGGUGUCUCCUAGAUUGGUUAGGUGUCGCUUGGGAGCUUCCCAGUUCGUGCGGAGUUGAAUCAAGAAGUUUGUAAGGGCAAGGAAAUCGCCUACUUCGUGAAGAUCUACCCCGAGUGAGGCUAGUCCUUGAUGAACGUAAGCCAUGGUGGAAUAGACAAGGUUGCUUCUUCGUGCACCCCUUGUGGGUGGAGCCCUCUGUGGACUCGCGCAACCGUUACCCUCCGUGGUUUGAAGUCUCCAUCCACGAGGACAUACCUAUCGGAAUCACGCCAAAAAUCUCUGUGUCAUCUUUGCGUUUGAUCUUCCUAUCUCUACUCCUUACUUUCAUGUCCAUGUCUUUACUUUCCGCUUCCAUACUCGUUGACUUACAUGUGUAGGGUGGACUAGACUUUCUAGAAUCGCUAAAACUUGCCAACCAAUAAAAUUGGGAAACAGCUAGGUUUUUAUUUGCCAAGUAGUCUAUCCACCCCCCUCUAGACGUCCCUUCAUGAUCCAACAAGUUGCUCUAGUGCUUCACUUAUAUAUUUUAGAGGAUGGUGACAUAUAGAUUUGAUAGAAAUAAUUGCACCCUCGUUCUUCACUUAAAAUUCGUUUGAGAGUUUAAUAAACUAUGACGGUAAUUUGCAUGGGUUAUAAGACUAGUCCAAAAAUAAUAGGUAUUCAAGGAGCGCAUAAUCAAAACCUCCCUGUAGCACAUAAAAGAAGGGGCUAUUUUGCUAGCUUAAGUACUUUCACAACCCCUAUUUACUCGUCAAGAAAAAGAAUGACACUUGAAAAUUUUAUAUAUAUUAUAGAAAUCUCAAUGCUAUUACUACUCAAAGAAAAUUACCUAUGCAUGUUGUGGAUGAUCUAUAGAUGAAGUAGAUGGUACAAAGUGAGUUUCGAAGUUACACGUUUGAGAUGGUUAACAUCCUAUUAGAAUGGACUAGAAGAUGCGUAGAACACUGCAUUUAAGACUCAUAGUGUACAAUUCCAGUUCAUGGUAAUGCCUUUUGUACUCGCAAAUGCUCCUUCCACAUUUCAAUGUUUAUGAAUUCUAUUUUUAAUCGCAUGAGAAACUAUGUUUUAAUAUUCAUGGACGACAUCUUAGUUUACACUAAGGACGUACAACAACACGUGUAACAUUUGGAAUUAGUCUUUAAGAUAUUAAGAUAACAUCUGUUAUUUGCCAAGAUGAUCAAAUACACUUUUGCUCAAAAUAAUUUCGAAUACUUGGGUACAUCAUUUCUGAUCAAGGCAUGCAAACGGAUUUUGAUAAGUUUGUAGUGAUGGUAAAGUGGCCAAAACCUCAAAAUAUGAUUGAAUUGAGUGGAUUCUUGGGUAUCAUGGGUACUAUAGAAAGUUUGUCAAGAGAUAUGGUGUUUUUGCCAAACCGUUAACUCAAUUACUUAAAGAAGCAUGCCAUUGUGUGGUCUUCUAAAGAACAAACUGCAUUUAACAAUCUUAAGCUAACCAUGAACACUAUUCGAGUGUUGUUGUUAGCAGAUUUUUAGCAGCAGUUUGUCAUUACAACAAAUGCCCGUGCCAUUUGAAUUGAAGUUAUUCUGACGCAACAUGAACACUAUAUAUAAUUUAAAUUAAAGCACUCGUGUAAAGAAUUAGCCAGUGUCUAUUUAGAGAAGGGUUUUUAGCUAUUAUGCUGUUUGUGGAGAAAUGGAGAGCAUACCUACAAAGACGAUCCUCUAUUAUUCAGAUUGAUCAUGAGAGCUUGUGUGAGUUGGAAAACAAGGUUCUCAACAUGGAGUUGUAGAAUAAGGCCAUGCCAAACUUACUUGGUCUAAAGUUUCAGUUCUAGUAUAUAAAUGGAAGUGAAAACUCUACAGAUGAUGCUUUAUCUAGAGUUGAGAGUUGGCCAUUUGUUGGCUGCUACUACUACUUCUACUAGACAACCUAUCUAGAUCCACAAAGUGAUUAAUUUUUAUGUGGUAGAUAAGACUAAUUAAGCAUUGCUACAGAAAUAGCACUCUAUAACACUAUGGAGGAGUACCCACUAGUGGAGGUAUCAUUAAAUUCCAAUAUAUGAUAAGGGUGGGAGACAAUCAAGAUUUAAAGACUAAACUGAUUUCUGCUUUCCAUGCUAGUGCAGUAGGAGGACACUCUCUUAUUCAUGCCACUUAUUAGAGAAUACAAAUAUUGUUCAUGGUGACUGCAUUGAAACAAGGUAUUAUAGAUUUUUUACAUCGGUAUGGGGUUUGUCAACUAGCCAAGCACGAACAUGGUAAAAUCCCUGGCGUGUUAAAACCCUUUACUUGUACUUGUUGGACCAUGGUAAGAGGUCACUACAGAUUUCCUUGAGGCACCACCCAAGUCUGAUGUAUAUAAAUCAUAUUAGUAGUGGUGGGUUGAUUUACUAAAUAUGAGCAUUUAUUCCUAUAAAACUUUCACUUUCUACUCAAGUAGGGGCCAAAGCAUUCUUGGCCAAAGUGAAAGAGUGAACCAAUGUGUGCAAAUGUCUCGCAGGGUCAUGCACGAAACUCCUUCUAUGUGGAAUUCCUGGCUACCUCAAGCUGAAUUUUUGUAUAAUACUAAUUACCAUACUACUCGAGAGUGCUCUCGUAUGAAAGCAUUGUAUGGUUAGAAGCCUGCCUAUGGGGAAGUUUAUUCUAAACCGACUUCUGAUGAUGUGGAUGUGGAGCAAUGGUUAAGGCAUCAUCAAAACCAUUCAUCUCUCCUCAAGGCUCAUCUGCUCAAAGCUGAAGCAAAAUUGAAAGGAUAUGCAGAUCCACAUAGGUCACCUCAUUCAUUUGCUGUAGGAGCUAUGGUUUAUCUCAAAUUAUAACCAUGUGCUCGAUCCUCAAUGGUGAACAAACCUUGUGCAAAGUUAGCUUACAAGUUUUAUGGCCAGUUUGAAAUUCUAGAGUGUAGUGGACCGACAUCUGACAAGUUAGAUUUGCCACAGGAAGCACUAAUUCAUCCAGUGUUUCAUGUCUCUCAACUCAAAGAAAAAUACACCGAAUCACACUCAUGUGUUCUCCACAUUGUAUGCCCAGUGGAUUAUCUGCUUUCAAUGUGGUGUCCGAAGCAAUUCUUGAUCGAAAUCUGGUUAAUAGGGAUGGCAAACUCUAUUAUGGGUUUUGAUACAGUAAACCGGACUGAGGUAGCGGUCACUUGGGAGAACUAUGAGACACUAAAGAAACAUUAUCAACAAACACCACCACGGGGACAUGCUGGAUCUCAAGGCGACACCAAUGUUAGCACCAGCCAUGCGUGAUGAACCGAACCAGCAGACACGCAAGCAACCACCAAUGGAAGGCACAAAUGUUGUGGCUUAAACAUGAGCCCAACAUGGGUACAUGGGUCCUGUAGUGUGUGUGGGUUGUGAGAGUCAAGUUGUGGGUUAAACAUGAGUCCAACAUCAUAAUGUGCAUGUGUGUGCCUCAUUUUGCUAUCACAACUUGACACACCUGCAUACCAUGUCCUCCUCCUCAUACCACCAUAAUCAGCAUGCUUGAUUACCCGUGGGCAUCCAUCAAACUCAACACACCUACCUACCAACCAUGCAUGAAAAAACAUUUUCAUUCUAGGACCUAACUAGGCAGCGGCGUCGCAUAUUUACGUUACUGUGCGGUGGCCGCUGGAGCGUCGAUUAAUGCAUGCGAUCUACAGAUCCGUUGGCCAGCUGGACCCGAUGUACUCUUUUUUAGGUUUGGGCUCUCGCAAGAGUACAACGCCACACGCAAGUUUUUCUUUGAUUUUGAAAUUUAAAUUGUUUUAUCUACAAAAUCGUUAAUUCAAUCGAUGAUCCGCAUUCAUCAUUGACUUUUUCGGGACGAGUUCUUAGAAACUAGAUCCCAUAUCGACAUGUUCCAUCAAGUAUUUUUUUCCGUUCAUACUUGCCACAUUUUUUGACCCAGUUGCCAUAUUAUUAACCACUUGCCUGAAAAGAAUAACUUGAUUGACACUUUUUAAUGUUAUUUCGUACAAAGCCUUGUAGCACUUUUUCAUUAUAUAUGAUAUAAAAGCAUGUCAUAGGUUGUGUUUGCCAAUUUAAAAAUAUGCCAACUUGUCAUAUUUACAUACAACUUUGCAAGAAAACUAUUUUGUGUGCUUGUUAGUUUAACUAUGCCGAGUUGUCAUAUUUAUAAACGAUGAACAAAAAAGAUUUUUUAUGGUCACUGGUUUUAAAUAUGUUGAGUUGGCAUAUUUUUGCGCGUAAUCGCCUAAAAAAUGUUUGUAUUUGUCAGUUUGAUUAUGUCGAGAUGUCAUAUUUAUACGUGAUUUCCAAAAAUAUGGUAAUUAAGUUAUUUUUUAUCAGAUAAGUAAGUACUUACUAAUAUAACAAGUAAGUGCAACAAAUGUGGUGAGUAUGAGCAAAAGAAAAGUUGUCGAAACAUGUCGACAUGGGGUCUAGUUUUAAAGAUUUCGUCGAAACAAAGUCAACAAUGAAAACGGAUCAUCGAUUGAAUUAACGGUUCACGAGAUAAAAGUUUUUGAAUUUUGGUCAUAAAGACAGAAUUCAGCAUGAGCUCGCCGCGCGGGAGCUUUCAUGUGUGCACGCUUCUCUUUAAAUUUUCCCUUCAUUCUAUUAUUCAACUCUAUCUAAUAAAUAUUUUACAACUAUAUAUAAUCAAAUACAAUAAGUUCUGUAAAUUUUUAGUUUUGUUCAUGUUUUAUUAGUCUAAAUAUUUAUAUUUCACAUCAUUAAAUUACAUUAAAAUAUAUACAACUGAUUUCCGUUGCAACGCGUGAGGUGUCGUUAGUUACAUAAACACUUUGUAUUUUUUUCGGCUGUAACGGGUUGACAUUCGCGCGUAAUAUAAUUCAGUACUAUAUUCAGCUGAGGAUUCUCUCCCCACUUUGAAAAAGAACUCUGCAUAAUUUCCGUAGAUAACAAAAGGAACACAGCAUAAAUUCCCAUGGAUCACUCCACAUCGGCACAACAAGAUGACAUCUCAUGCUUGCAGUACAACUAGCCAACUCAUGACACACCACCAUGCAGCUGAUAUAACGACAUCUUCAACGUUAACUCAUAAAUCUUUUUUUUUAUCAGUUUGCGGAUAAAGAAACUGGUCCGCACAUACGGAUACGAGAGGUCGACAUCCAAGGCUGCCUGCAUAUAUGUUAACAAUAUUUUAAAUCAACCGAACAAAAUUCAUGUAAAUACAGUCGGAUUUCAUAUAAACCCGUCCGCAUUUCAUUUGAACAUGUCGGAUUUCCUUUAAACAUGACGGAUUUCAUAUAGUCAUGACGGAUUUCAACAUUACAUCAACUAAGUGGUGUUCGUCCUGCUGUAGAGGUAUAAUUGAUAGGCCUAAUUUAUGAUCGAUGGCGCCCACUACCCGUGUCCGGCCCUGAGCUCCAAUAACUGAAACUUUGUCCUCUCCAGCUCCGCCUCCGUAAUCUCUUCGAAGCCUCAGGAAGUGAAGCUGUCCGCCACCACUCCGCCGCCAAGCGGCUAAUUGGCCGACGAUGUUGAGGUCGCCAAGCUUGGCUGCAACGGGAGGGAAGGAGCGAUGGCCUUCUUGGGACCUGAGCAUCAGCGAGCUACCAUGCUCUACUCUUCCUCAUUGUCAGCGAAAUCCUCUGCCUCCUUGUCGGCAUUGCCGAACACCUCGCCCGCCGCUUCGUCGAACUCCUUACACGCGGCCACCAGUUCUGCCUAACGCUGGCGGUAUCGCCAGCGGUCGAGGCGGAUCUAGCAGGCAGAGCGGUAGGACUCGAGCAGCACCACCUACUUCACUAGGUCUGCCUUUGACGCGAUCACCCUGUUGGCGGCGAGCUGCUCGUUCGCCUACUGGUGCUCAUGGAUGAGGAGGUGGUUGUAGGCGACGUUGGCCCGCGCCUCCCGGAACGGAUCUUCCUACUCCUCCCGUACCUUGUUCAUAUAAUAGGCACGUGCCUCGCCGACGGACAUGGUGCAAUGCACCAGUGAGGGUGGGGCACGAGAGGAGAAGGAUGGUGCAGACGAGUGUGGGGCGGAGGAGGAGGAGGAUGGCGCUGGCUCGUCGGCGGUCGCGUCUUUCAUUGCUUCAUCAUCGUCCUCCGGUUGCGUGCCGACAAACCAACCGAAAGAAAUGCUGGCCAUCUCCGUCUUUUGGUCAGUCAUCCGCUCGUCCAUAGAGAUUUGGACCGCAAGGAAGCCAUGAUGGGAGUUGGGGGGGGGAGGAGAAAGGAUCGGAGGCAGAUGGCUGCGGCUAUAGCGAGGGCAACAAAUUUUUUUUAUAGCAAUAGAGGACAGCCGAGCGACGAACGAGUGGCGUCCAAGUAGACGCCUUGUCAACCGCAUAACAUUACUGGGGCGACGCAUGAACGGACGGGCGACCGUCGUGUCGUUUGAACGCGGAACAGUCGUAUGCAUCAAGAAUAGGCACGAGAGGCUCUUUAUCGGCAGCAUGCCGCUAUAAUGCGGACGAGAGUGAGGGAUCGCGUUCGCUCUGACCGGGCAUUAAUGCGGCACUGACGCUCUAUGCGGCGCAGACUGAUUCAAGUGUGAUGCAUGUGCAGAUGAGGAAAGAAAUUUUGGUGGACUACGGUGCUUAGAAGCGGGCUUGGGUACUGUUUGAACGUCCAAGAAACCCUAUUUUUGUCUUUGAUUCAUGUGAAAAAUAUAUCUAGACUGUCGUUCGAAUCAAUACAUAACCGCAUCGACUGACUUCCGCGGUAUAAAAAGCCGAUCUAAAAGUAUGAGCUUUAAGAGCAAAUACAAUAGAACUGAGUCAACUGGUUAUAAAAAAUAAAAUAGUAUAUUUUUGUUUAGUUGGAAAAAAGAAAAAAGGAGAGAAAAGGUAAGCGGACUCUUAGUUAAGAGUCAAUUGCAGCACGUGUUUCUAGGCAUUUUAUGAAAGUGAAAGAUGAGUCAUAUAAUAAAAAAUAAUAUACUUUUUAAACCAAUUAUUAUAUAUAUUAGCUAUAAAAAGGUAAACGUUUAUACACGGGGCGUCGGCCGAACCGUUUUGGCCAGACCCACCGCGUUCGUCCGAUCUGGGUGGAUCGCGCGCGUCCCCUCCCCCCGCGCAGGUCGCCGUCGCCCCUCCCCCCGCGCAGGCACCGCCGUCGUGUGCUUCCCCUCUGCGCAAGUCGUCGUCGCCCCUCCCCGCGCGCAGGCGCCGCCGUCGCGUGCUUCUCCUAUGUGCAUGUUGCCGUCGCCCCCUCCCCCGCAGGCACCGCCGCACGCCCUCGUACCCUUCGCUGGCGCUGCUGCAAAACCACCAUCGCCGGUGCUCGGGCCGAGCCACAGGGGAGAUGACAUGGCUGCCUCCUGCCAUGGACUGAUCUGUGUGUACACAUGUAUUAAAAAAAAGCUACAAGCGGUGUACAAAAAGCUUCAAACGGCAUAAAAAAAGCUUCAACCGUUGAUAAAAAAAAGUUACAACCACGUCCAUGAGAGUUGCAACCAAACUUCGCCGGAGUUUUGUAGGCGGAGUUGCAACCAUGAUGAAAAAAUGCUGCAACCAUUAUACAAAUUUGAUACAUCAGUCAUUCUUUUUUGUUGCAACCGUAUUUUUUUUUUGCUACAACCGUUGACAUGAGCAAGUUCCAACCAUGAUGGGAAAUGCUGCAAUCAUUAUACAAAUUUGCUACAUCAGUCAUUUUUUGUUGUUGCAACCGUAUUGUAUUUUUGCUACAACCGUUGACAUGGACGAGUUGCAACCAUGAUGGAAAAUGCUGCAACCAUUGUACAUUUUUGCUACAUUUAUUGUUCUAUUUUGUUGCAACCGUAUUGUUGUUUACAAGGGGCUGCAACCAUGAGCGCACGCUGCUACAUCCACGGAGGUUAGAAACGCAUAGAAAGGCGACAUAGGUGAAGGCGGCGAGGGCGGCGACCGACGGUGGAGGGCGGCCAGCGGUGAGGAGGUGAGGCGAGGCGGUCGGCGCGUGCUGGGGCAUUCGGCGCGGGCUAGGCGCGUGCGGGGAUGGCGGCGCGUGCGAGGAUGACGGGCGGUGGGGGCUCGCGCGACCAGAUCUGACGACAGGAGCCCUGAUCUGAUGGCUGCUGCGCGACCGGUGCGAGCCCCGGACCGACGCGCCGGCGUCUAGCACUGUCCAUAAAAAAAAGUAUACGUGACAUGACAAUGUGUUAUAGCAGCAACUGACUAUGCGAGUAACCAUACUCUAAACCGCGGGUGCCGCAUGGACCACGGUUUUCAUAAGACACAUGCCAUUUUCCGGCGACGUACGGCAGUCCCCAUGCCCUUCCGAUCCAGAGAACCGGGGCAUGCUCUACUACGGACGGACAGCGACCGCACUCCCGCUCAUCGCGCGCCGCGCGUGGCAUCCGAUCCACGACGAUGCCGCCACCACCACCACCACCGGUGCCUUCGGUUGGGUCGGGGCGGCGUACGUGGAGGCCCCCGCCGCCGUCGGUAGAAGUUUGGUCCAGACCCCGCCGUUAACCAGCAUGGGGCCCUGCACGGAUGUCGGCUACCCGCCUUUUCGCCUCCUACCCCCUUCGUGCUCUAUCCACUGCCGCCGAGAAUCACGAGCCGUCCCCGUGGCACGGGCGGCGCUCGUGUUUCGGAUGACCGGGCUCGUUGGUUUCCGAAAAAUGCCGUAGGAUUCCUUCACUGCCAGCGAAGGCAACCGAGUACCUGGACUCCUUGAAAGAUUCUAGAAGCUGCAAGUUCUCAAGGCCCCUACCAACUUGAACCUUUACGGGUUACGACAACCAAGUGGCACAGUAUAAGUAUCUAAAGCAGGAUCCGUCGCGCAUGCAUGAACUGCAUGCAACUGGCUAGCUAGGUAGCUGGCCAACUGGACUAGUUGACGGCAGAGCUGAAUUGCAGUCUACGGACGUCGAGCAAGGAGUGAAAUGAGCCGUCGGGAAUUCAAAACUGGGAAGAACCGAAUCGUGUUGAUCGGUAUGCGACGGUGACGGGUGAUUGCUGGUUUAACCGAUGGCUCGUGUCCAUCGCUGUUUGGCCAACUUUGGCCAAGGGUUUGCUUUAUUCUCUGAUGGUUGAUGGCCACUUGAGGAGUGGAGUCAUAUUACGCGUUGCUCGUGUCUGGCUUUUACCAUGUCUUUUUCUUUUUAAUAACAAAAGGUUGGCUUUUACCAUGUCAAUCAAAUACAGAAAAAGGAAAAGGCGGGAAAUAGCUGGUUGUCGUUGCUGCAUGUGCUUGUCCCGUCUUCCAGCUAUCGCUGGUUGAGUAGGACUAUUCCAGUGCGCAGGAACCUUUUCCUCUGUUUUUUUCUAGACUGAAUUUCUUUGCGAUUUUAUCAUUCACGUCCUUGCAAAAACACCCUUAAAAUUUGAAUAUACAUCCAGAUGCCUAGGUCAGUGAAGUGUUCUCCCUCCUGCAUCAGCCAGCGAUGCCUGUGACAAAUUGGUCAAAACAUAGAAGCUCGUAGAAGCAGGAGACGGAAAGUUGUCGACGCAGACCAAAUGACAUUGGUGGCCAUGAUCUAUGUAGCAAAUCAUCACAUGAGGGGAGAAAACAUAGUAGAGGGCAAUGUACAAUGCCCCCGUUUCGAACACAUAAAGUCUGAACACAAAUUUCACACACUCUCCAAUGAGGUCGAGGCUGGGCAUUUUUACUACUUGGAAUGGUAUUUUGUUCUAGGACUGAAAAGUAUUUCCAAAUACGUAUUCUUUGUCCAUGCAAUUCACAUCAGUUCACUCUCGAAAAACAUGGAUUCUUACAAAUAUUUAUGGGCCAUGUGCACACGAGGAAAAAUUGGAAUUCCUUGACUUGUUUCAUAACAUUGAGAUCCCAUGGCUAAUAUUGGGAGCCUUCAAUGAUAUUAUGCACCUUGACAAGAGGAAUAAAGAAGAAUAAAUUUUUGAGGAGAUAUUUUACAAUUUAAUGAGCCUAUCAACAAUCUUGGUUUCGUCAAAAUCCUCCUUAAGGGCAGGAAUUACACCUGGACCAAUAUGCAAAUAGAACCUCUUCUUCAAAAAUUGAAUUUGAUUUCUCUUCAUAAGCUUGGACCAUCACAUAUCCCAAGACUCAAGUUACUGCAUUAUCAAAGCCCAUCUCAGAUCACACCCAUUGUCUUGCCAAAAUUGGAAUAAGGGUUCCAAAAUCCAAGCUUUCCAGAUUUGAAAAUUUCUCGUUGGAAUAUAGUGAAUUUAAGGAGAUUCUUAAAAACAUUUUGUCUCAAGAUGUGCAAGAGCAGGAAAAUGCAAAAAUAAUAACAUCAAAGUUCAAAAGGUUGACAAAAGGCUUAAUGAUUUGCUCUAAAGGUUUAUGAAACUUGUGUGUCACUACAAAAGCAUGUAAUGCGUUUAUUCUACUAUUUGAUCUUAUGAAUCAAUUUAGACACUUGAAAAAUGAGGAAUGGAAUGGAGAUGCAUAGUAAGUGAGCACAAGUUAGGCGGAUGAAAACACGAAGUUCUUUAAAGCAAAAGCAACGAUCAAGUAUAGAAAGAAUCAUAUUAACUCUCUAGUUGAUGAGAUUGUUCAAUAAGUAACAUAUCAUGAUGUCAAAGGUGUUGUUUUGUGCAGAGCUUUCAACCAAAGAUUAAGUAACUCAACCCCAUUUUUUAGUCCUUCUCCCUUACUGGUCUAUAGGAAAACAUCAUAAUUUAGCAAAUGAGGAGAAACCUUUCACAAAAGAAGAGACACAUGAUGCAGUUGACUGAUGUCUACUAUGCAACUUUAUUCUUGUAGACACCGUUGGGCCUCCAAGUGCAGAGUGUUGUAGGACGGCAACAAAUUUUCCUCAAGUGGAUGACCUAAGAUUUAUUAAUCCAUGGGAGGUAUAGGAUGAAGAUGGUCACUCUCAAGCAACCCUGUAAUCAAAUACAAGAAACCACUUGUGUCCCCAACACACCCAAUACAAUGGCAAAUUGUAUAGGUGCACUAGUUUCGCAAAGAGUUGGUGAUGCAAGUGUAGUAUGGAUAGUAGAUAUAGGUUUUUAUAAUCUGAAAAUAUAAAAACAUCAAGGUAGCAAAUGGAAAACAGUGCACAAAAUGUUGUAUAAAUGCUUGGAAAUAAGGUCUAGGGUUCAUAUUCUCACUAGCACGAUCUAUCAACAAUGCUAACACAGUAGGAUCAUAUGAUCAUUCUUCAAUGUGCAAGAAAGGAUCACUCCAAAGUUUAUAUCUUGCAGAGAACAUGAGAUGAAUUUUUGUAGGUAGUAGAACCACCUCAAAGUUACCUUUUUUGAUCAGUCUAUUGAGCUAUUCCUAUAGGUGACACAAACAACUCUAGAGUUCAUACUAAAAUAACACGAAUGAUACAUAUCAAUAAUUCCUAGUGUCAUCAAGACACUCCAAUGUCAUCACGAGUAUCUGUGGGUUAAUUAUUCAACAUGCAUCAAACAAUUUCAGACUUAUUAUAUUCAAUCCAACACAAGUAACUUCAUAGGGUACCCUAAGAUUUAUAUCAGAGAGAGUAGGACAAGAAUGUGUAACAUAUCAUGAUGUCAAAGGUGUUGUUUUGUGCAGAGCUGUCAACCAAUGAGUAAGUAACUCAAUCCCAUUUUUUAUUCCUUCUCCCUUACUGGUUUAUAGCAAGACAUGAUAAUUUAGCAGAUCAGGAGAAACCUUUCACAAAAGAAGAGACACAUGAUGUGGUUGACUAAUGUCUACUAUGCAACUUUAUUCUUGUCGACACCGUUGGGCCUCCAAGUGCAGAGUGUUGCAGGACGGCAACAAAUUUCCCUCAAGUGGAUGACCUAAGGUUUAUUAAUCCAUGGGAGGUAUAGGAUGAAGAUGGUCUCUCUCAAGCAACCCUGAAUCAAAUACAAGAAACCACUUGUGUUCCCAACACAUCCAAUCCAAUAGUUCAGCAAAGAGAUGGUGAUGCAAGUGUAGUAUGGAUAGUAGAUAUAGGUUUUUGUAAUAUAAAAAUAUAAAAACAUCAAGGUAGCAUAUGAUCAUACUCUCACUAGUACAAUGAGCAAAAGUUGUAUAAAUUCUUGGAAAUGAGGCCUAGGGUUCAUACUCUCACUAGUACAAUCUCUCAACAAUGCUAACACAGUAGGAUCAUAUGAUCAUUCUUCAACGUACAAAAAAGGAUCACUCCAAAGUUUAUAUCUUGAGGAGAACAUGAGAUGAAUUUGUUGUAGGUAGUAGAAUCACCUCAAAGUUACCAUUUCCGAUCAGUCGGUUGAGUUAUUCCUAUAGGUGACACAAACAACUCUAGAGUUUGUACUAAAAUAACACCAAUGAUACAUAUCAAUAAAUCCUAGUGUCAUCAAGACACUCCAAUGUCACCACGAGUAUCCUUAUGUUAAUUAUUCAACAUGCGUCAAAAAAUUUCAGAUUUAUCAUAUUCAAUCCAACACAAAUAACUUCAUAGAGUACCCGAGAUUUCUAUCGGAGAAAGUAGGACAAGAAUGUGUAUCAACCCCUAUGCAUAUAUUAAUGAGGCUAUCAACAAUCUUGGUCUUGUCUAAAUCCUCCUUAAGGGCAGGAAUUGCACCUGGACCAAUAUGCAAAUAGAACCUCUUCUUUAAAAGUUGAAUUGGAUUUCUCUUCAUAGGCUUGGACCAUCGCAUUUCCCAAGACUCAAGUUACUGCAUUAUCAAAGCCCAUCUGAGAUCACACCCAUUGUGUAGCCAAGAUUGGAAUAAGCGUUCCAAAAUCCAAGCUUUCCAGAUUUGAAAACUUCUUGUUGGAACAUAGUGAAUUUAAGGAGAUUUUUAAAAACAUUUGGUCUCAAGAUGUGCAAGAGCAGGAAAAUGCAAAAAUAAUAACAUCAAAGUUCAAAAGGUUGACAAAAGGCUUAAAGAUUUGGUCUAAAAGUUUAUUAAACUUGUUAGUCACUACCAAAGCAUGUAAUGCGUUUAUUCUAUUAUUUGAUCUUAUGAAAGAAUUUAGAUACUUGAAAAAUGAGGAAUGGAAUGGAGACGCGUAGUAAGUAGGCAUAAGUUAGGCGGAUGAAAACACGAAGUUCUUUCAAGCAAAAGCAAUGAUCAAGUAUAGAAAUAAUCACAUUAACUCUCUAAUUUAUGAGAUUGGGCAAUAAGUAACAUAUCAUGAUGUCAACGUUGUUGUUUUGUGCACAGCUUUUAACCAAAGAGUAAGUAACUCAACCCCAUUUUUGAGUCCUUCUCCCUUACUGGUCUAUAGCAAGACAUGAGAAUUUAGCAGAUCUCGCGAAACCUUUCACAAAAGAAGAGACAGAUGAUGCGGUUGAGUGAUGUCUACUAUGCAACUUUGUUCUUGUAGACGUUGUUGGGCCUCCAAGUGCAGAGUGUUGUAGGCCGACAACAAAUUUCCCUCAAGUGGAUGACCUAAGGUUUAUUAAUCCAUGGGAGGUAUAGGAUGAAGAUGGUCUCUCUCAAGCUACCCCGUAAUCAAAUACAAGAAACCACUUGUGUCCCCCACACACCCAAUACAAUGGCAAAUUGUAUAGGUGCACUAGUUCGGCAAAGAGAUGGUGAUGCAAGUGUAGUAUGGAUAGUAGAUAUAGGUUUUUGUAAUCUGAAAAUAUAAAAACAACAAGGUAGCAAGUGGCAAAGAGUGAGCAAAACAUUGUAUAAUUGCUUGGAAAUAAGGCCUAGGGUUCAUACUCUCACUAGUACAAUCUCUCAACAAUGCUAACACGGUAGGAUCAUAUGAUCAUUCCUCAACGUGCAAGAAAGGAUCACUCUAAGGUUUAUAUCUUGCAGAGAACAUGAGAUGAAAUUGUUGUAGGUAGUAGAACCACCUCAAAGUUACCCUUUCCGAUCAAUCUAUCGAGCUAUUCCUAUAGGUGACACAAACAACUCUAGAGUUCAUACUAAAAUAACACCAAUGAUACAUAUCAAUCAACCCUAGUGUCACCAAGACACUCCAAUGUAACCACGAGUAUCCGUGGGUUAAUUGUUCGACAUGCAUCAAACAAUUUCAGAUCUAUCAUAUUCAAUCCAACACAAAUAAAUUCAUAGAGUACCCCAAGAUCUAUAUCGGAGAAAGUAGGGCAAGAAUGGGUAUCAACCCCUAUGCAUAUAUUACCCCAUGGCUGUCACAUGAAUCCACAAGUUGAGUACCAAGACAUACAUCAAGUGAUAUCAAAUUCAAUAUUCAAUCCGACAUAACAAAAUCGUAAAGGGAAAGAAUCAAUUCAUCACAACAAGAUAGCAAGGGAAGAACACCAUAUUAUCGAACUAUAUUAACAUGGCCCCACGAUAUAUCAAGAUCAUGCCAUCUCAAGACCAUGAGAGAGAGAGAGAGAGAGAUCAAACUCAUAGCUACUUGUACAUACCCUUAGCCCCGAGGGUGUACUACUCCCUCCUUGCCAUGGCCACCGCCAGAAUGAUGAAGAUGGCCACCGGUGAUGAUUUCCCCCUCCGACAGGGUACUGGAAAUGCUUCAAAUGGGUUUUCUUUGAUACACAGAGUUGCGGAGGUGGAGCAGAAGUUCUAGGUUAAAUUUCUGGGGUGUGUGGAUUUAUAGGAAUUUUCAGCGUUGGAAUCACCUCAUCCGGAGCCACGUGGGCCCCACAAGCUAGGAGGGCACAUCUAGGGGGUGGGCGUGCCCUGUUGGCUUAUGGCCCACAGGUGGACCGCCUCUGGUGGUUCUUCACUCUGGUAUUUCUCAUAUUAUCCAGAAAAAAUGAUCAAAAAGUUGGGUGAUCCCGAGAACUUUUAUAUUUUGCACAAAAAAGCAACACCACGGUAAUUCUGCUGAAAACAGCGUCACUCCGGGUUAGUUGUAAUAAAAUCAUAGAAAGUGCAUCUUAUCUAGUCAAACAAUUACUCUUGUCUAUGUUUGUUCCACAAGUUAAACCUAAGAACACUAGUAACAAAGGCUAGAAAGUUUCAUCAUCUAGUAACAACAAUGCUAAAGUUAGAUCAAAUGAUGAUGUUGCUAGUAGCUCUCUUGAUUCCACUAAUGAUUCUCUUAGCCAAGUUACACUUGAGCAAGAGAACGAUUUAUUGAAAGGGAUUAUUGAGAUAGGUGUCUUCAAGAGUCUUGCCGGAAGUAAGCAAUUUGAGGAAAUUGUGCGCAAGCAAGGAGGACAUCGGAAGAAGCAAGGUGUUGGCUACUGCAAUGCCAACGGAGUUGAAUGGAAGAAGGUCCAUAUCCCAUCCCGAAGUUUGUUCCUUGAGAGGAGAAGUAUGGUCCUACUCUCCCCAAGGGAACAAGCUCUCAAGAUGAACUUCCUCCAAAAGAUAACAAAGUCAAAGGCAAGCUUCAAGAGGAGAUUGACUCAUUUGAGGAAGAAUCCCAAGCCAAGGUCGAGUGGAUUCCCAUGGACACUACUAGAUCUACUUGAUCUAGUACUACCACAACUCCAAGGAUCCCCAUCAAGUUCAUGUGGAUCCCCAAGAGGAAGAACUAGAAAGUUCUUGACGGGUGACUCCACAAUGAAAUUCACUCUUAUUCAUUUUGGCAAGAACUACAUGCAAACAACUCCAACCAUAAGCAUUUGUUCAAGGAGUCACACAUUCCCUCAAAGGUAAGCAAGGGACAAGGUAAUUAAUGUAUCUUUGGACAUCAUCUCACAUGUAUUUCAUUCCAUGUCCAUAGAUAUCCUUGCAUACGUUCCUUGUGCUUUGGGACUAACCCAUGUAGGUGAAAAGAGUAAGAAACAACAAGGAUUGCUCCCAACACAAGAUGAUCUUCAUCAACAAUGAGCAUCCACCACUUCUAAACCUACUUGAAGUCUUCUACGACAAAACACAAGGUUAGUUUACCCCUCUUAGGGGGGAUGUCACAUCAAGGGGGAGCUUCACUCUAAAACUUCAGUAUAAGCAUCUCCUAAAGAUGUGAACACAUUAAUGCUUUAUGUAAAAGUGGUAACCCCACUUAUGCUGAAACGAUGAGUAUGUGAUACGUUUCAAACGUAUCUAUAAUUUUUUAUUGUUCCAUGGUAUUAUAUUAUAUGUUUUGGAUGUUUCAUAUGCAUUAAUAUCUUGUUUUAUAUUAUUUUUGGGACUAACCUAUUAAUCUAGAACCUACUGCCAGUUUCUGUUUUUUCACGUUUUUUAGUACCGCAGAUAAGGCAUAUUAAACGGAGCCCAAACGGAACAAAAUCUCUGGAAAGAUUGUUCUUGGACCAUAAGACACGCAGGAGACAUGGAGUAGGGGAUAGGACAACAGCUGGGAGGCUACAAGCCUGCAGGGCGCCCCCCCGGGGGGGGGGGGUCGCCCCUAGCUUGUGGCCCUCCUACAGGUCUCCUAACCCUAUUCUUUGGCCUAUAAAUUCCCAAAUAUUACCGCAUCGCCAAAAAUAUCCACGAAAAUAAAUCUGAAGGGAUUGCCAACCCCUUUAUAGCGUUGGGUGCAAGUGUUUGAUUGUUUGUGUAGGUACUACUAUUGGGGCCUUGCUUGUUCCUCCUACUGGAUUGAUACCUUGGUUCUCAACAAACUGAGAGAAAUACUUAUCUACUUCAUUGCAUCACCCUUUCCUCUUUAAGGGAAAACCAACACAAGCUCAAGAGGUAGCAGUAUGACCUAUGAUCAUGUAUUCUUACUUGGCUCCUGAUACGUCUCCAACGUAUCUAUAACUUUUGAUGGUUCCAUGCUAUUAUCUUGUCAACUUUGGAUGUUUUGUAUGCAUUUUAUAUCUUUUUUGGGACUAACCUAUUAACUGAGUGCCAAGUGUCAGUUCCUGUUUUUUCCGUGUUUUUGACCCUUUUCAGAGAAGAAUAUUAAACGGAGUCCAAAUGGAAUAAAAUCUUCGGAAUGAUUUUUCCAUAACAGAAGAUACGCAGGGAACUUGAGAACCAAGGCAAAGGAUCCCGGGGGAGGCCACAAGGCCCCUAGUCGCGGCCUGGGGGGCACCUACCAGGCUUGUGCCCCCCCCCGUGGCUCCUUUGCCCUACUUCUUCCACCUAUAAAUUCCCUAGAAAUCUGAAACCACGGGAGAGAGCCACGAAAAUACUUUUCCGCCGCCGCAAGCUUCUGUCUCCGCAAGAUCCCAUCUGGGGCACGUUCUGGUGCCCUGCCAGAGGGGGGAUUCGGACACGGAGGGCUUCUUCAUCAACACCAUUGCCUCUCCGAUGAUGCGUGAGUAGUUCACCACAGACUUUCGGGUCCAUAGCUAGUAGCUAGAUGGCUUCUUCUCUCUCUUGGAUCUUCAAUACAAAGUUCUCCAUGAUCUUCAUGGAGGUCUAUCCGAUGUAAUCUGCUUUUGCGUGUGUUUGUCGAGAUCCAAUGAAUUGUGGAUUUAUGAUGAGAUUAUCUAUGAUUAUUAUUUGAGUCUCCUCUGAUCUCUUAUAUGCAUGAUUUCGUAUCCUUGUAAUUCUCUUCGAGUUGUGGGUUUCGUAUGGCCAACUUGAUCUAUAAUUCUUGCAAUGGGAGAAGUGCUUGGUUUUGGGUUCAUACCGUGCGGUGUCCUCACCCAGUGACAGAAGGGGUAGCGAGGCACGCAUCGUGUUGUUUCCAUCAAGGGUAAAAAGAUGGGGUUUAUAUCUAUUGCAUGGAUUUAUCCCUCUACAUCAUGUCAUCUUGCUUAAGGCUUUACUCUAUUUGUUAUGAACUCAAUACACUAGAUGCAGGCUGGAUAGCGGUCGAUGUGUGGAGUAAUAGUAGUAGAUGCAAACAGUAUCGGUCUAUUUGUCUCGGACGUGAUGCCUAUAUGUAUGAUCAUUGCCUUAGAUAUCAUCACGACUUUGCGCGAUUCUAUCAAUUGCUCGAUAGUAAUUCGUUCACCCACCGUAAUAUUUGCUAUCAUGAGAGAAGCCUGUAGUGAACACUAUGGCCCCCGGGUCUACCUCACAUCAUAUUAUCAGCUCUACACUUUCACUUUGUUGCACUUUCCGCCUUCAGAUCUCACCUUGCAAUCAACCGUGAAGGGAUUGACAACCCCUUUAUAGCGUUGGGUGCAAGUUUGUUUGUUUUUGCGCAGGUACUUUGGAGACUUGCCUUGAUACUCCUACUGGAUUGAUACCUUGGUUCUCAAACUGAGGGAAAUACUUACUGCUACUGUGCUGCAUCACCCUUUCCUCUUCAAAGGAAAAAACCAACGCAAGCUCAAGAGGUAGGAGAUCCUAAGUCAAUAUACUCAUAUAUAGAUGACUUAAUCAUCGCCAAAGUGCUUGAUAGAUGCUAGAGUGUUUCUGCACGUUCACCAAGUUUUAUUUGACAUUUUAUUGAGUGACCAUGUUGGUAUGCAUACUUUACUCAUUCAAGGAUAUCCAAUGGUUGUUAUUUGGCUUUCUAUUUUAUUUGGCCAAUUGGAUAUACAAGAAUGCCUAAGUACCUCCCUCUAUCUAUCUAUGUUUUCUCGUCUCAAAUUCUAUUCAUGCUACAUCACAAGAUUUGAGCAAGAACUUUAGGGACACUCCGUGUGAGGAGCACUCGGAGACCCAUCUCAACAAGGUUUAAAUUCCAAAACAUCCCAAAGUGCAUCAAAGUGUGAUGAACCUCAAAAUCUCAAUCCCACCGAAGCCUAGGUUUGAUCAGGUUUUCUUAUCUCGGUACCAUCGAGUUGUCAUUUUUGGCCUCGCCGAGUUUCACUGUUUGCUGAAAGUUAUGGAACAUGGUGGCACCAAAAAACCCAUCUCGUGUCACCCACAACUAGGAGGUAUAUAUAUUCCACGGACCCGACGGUUGGAAAAGUUCUUCAAACAUCGCCUCCCGCACCUCCUCGCUGCCGCUCCCAAAUCCUCUGGACAUCGCCUUGAAUCUCCCAUGUGCCCUCGCCACCGGAGUCUUCGCCGUUGAUGAGAAUAUUCACCACCGUCAUUGCCAUAGCGGAGCCGUCACCGAGCUAGGGUAUGGAUCCGACCCUUUUGUGCUCCUAAUUCUAAUUCUUGCGUAAAUGGGCUUUGAUGAAAUUUGUCCACUUCUGUAAUCAUCCCAACAAGAAGAAAAACCUCGUAGAUUAGAGAACAAUGGAAAUCUGAGGGUUAACCAUCCGCGAGAUUGAAUCUUGGUGUCACCAUUCAGAAAAGUCAGUCUUACAGAUUUUGUUUUAGGGUUACUGAGAAUGUUCUUGGUGAAACCGAGUUCUCCUUUCAAGUGAAACUGAAAAGGGUGCCAAGUUUCUGUUAAUGAGAACGUCAGUAUCGGUGGCUCGUUUGACUCGGUGGAACUGAAAUCCCUUUUUGCCGAAUGUUAAACCUAACUUUCCAGAGUUCAUUUUUUUCAAAACUUCUGAAUUUUGUGAUGCUCAUACAUUCCAGCUCUUAUAUAUCAUUUCACAGGGUCUGCUUGUGUGCUUGUCUGCUUAGCUGUUUGACAGAAUGUCAGGAUCAUAGGAUAGUCAGAACAACUUUAGUGAGCCCAUUGCCGACAUGGACUCACGCACUAGUCCAGAGAGGACUCCUUGUGACCCGGGAACACCUAGCUCCCAUGGCUUGCCCAAGGUAGCUACCAGGUCUAGGAGCAAGUUAAAUUCAGAUGAAGAAGAUGUUGACUUUAUCCCAGAGGAAACUGUUCCCCAGAAGCAGAAAGACAAGACCACAGUCAAGAAGACUGUGAGGAAAGAGUAUGCCAGACGUGCUGAUAUGAAAGCUCCAGAGGCUAGGGUUGCUAAGCAGCUAGGUCAGAAAAGAGUGAGAAAGAGAGUUGUGCAUGUUGUUGGAAGGCCAACUUCUAUGUAUGAAGACCGAACAUAAGCUGCUGAAGAUGAGGGGAAGAUAUUCCAGCUGAGGUCCCUCCUUCGAAGAAGAAGUUUAUGGCUGAUGCUAUGCCAAAGAAGCCUUCAACUCUAAACAAACCUUUGGCUCCUAAGAAGCAUGUAGGUCCCAAGAGGACUACCAAGGACAUUCUUGUAGCAGAGAAGAACAAAGGCUCUACAUCGAGAGAAUUUGCUGCAGAAGAAGAAGAGGAUGCACCUGUGCUAAUGAAGUUGAGAUCUCAUAUGUCAUUGCAGAAUGCUGCUCAUCCAGUUGUUGAGGAUAUGAAGAAGAUAAGGGAACAAGGACUGAGAAAGUGGAGGUUAGAUGAUCCUUAUGCUGUCAUAAGGAGAACUGAUGUUGAUCCUCUCUUUGACCAAAAGGAGCAACAAGAUUUUUAUGAGACUAUGUUGCUUGACAAGAGUCUUGCUGUUAGUGACAUGAGAUAGGUUGAUUGGGAAUAUAUCAAGGCCAAUGAACAUUAUUUUUUCCCAUGUGAGAGAAAACUUCAGGGUACUUGACAUAGAAGAUUUUGUUGGCAGAGAGAUGACUGCUUGUAACGAUUAGAUGAUCAUGCAAUUCUAUUCAAGCACUCAUUUUUAUUCUGAUGGAAGAAUUGUAUGGAUGGCAGAAGGUUAUGGGUAUGAGGCCACAAUUGAUGAGUGGGCCACUAUCAUUGGUGCCCCAAAGGCACAAGAGAGAUACUUGGAUGUGUAUUCGGAACGAAAGAUGAAUCACAACUCCAUGUCAAACAUGUAUAACCCAGUGCCCCAUAAGUAUGUACAAACACACAAGUUUGGCUCUGUCUACUUUUUGCAAGCAGGAAUACCUACUAUGACCACCAUAAUGAGACACACCCUGAUGCCUAAAUCAGGAGAUGAUAAGAUGAUUAGAGGUUAUUCCAUUACUAUGCUGCAUCAUUUAGACACCCACACCUAGUUCAGAGUGAUGGAGUUGAUAGUUGAGACUGCCAGGAGGACUGUUGUAGAUCAGAAGAGAUGAUGUGGUUAUGCUCCAUAUAUUCAUAUGCUCAUCAAUGCCAAGAUUGGAAAGCAUGCAUAUCUACUUGAUCGUCCCCACCUGCCACUUUAGCCAGAGUUUGAAGAUAAUGAAGUUGCGAUGGACUCAAUCCAUCCCAUCUCAGCUACAACUUGAGACAGAGCAGAGGCAACAGAGGCAGAGGGAUCUAGGAAUGCUCCAGCUCGAUCUCCAUAUCUCGGAACCAGAGAUGAGCAUAUGUCAUUCCUAGUCAGGACCAUCCAAGGGACGGAGAAUAUUUUUUUUGAGAUUUUGCUGAACCAAAAGAGUCUUGAGAGGAUUAUGGAAACAAAGUUCCAUGACCUAGAUGUUAAGGUGACGGGAUUGACUACCACUGUUCAGCAACUCCAGCAUGAAGUUGAUUCAUUGCAUAUAUCCCGCUCCAGCAGUGAUGAUGAAGAGUCGCCUCUUCCCACCAGUACUCAGUUCAGGACCCAGUCUACGGCAGUAGUUGUGCCAGUUCUGGAAGCAAGAUCAACUUCAUCAGCUCAAGCUUUAUCACCUUUAGCUCCAGCUCCAGCUCUAGCUCCUGCACCUCUAGUGUCGACACCUCCAGUUCCUGGGACAUCUGGAGAAGCCUUCGUUGACGCUCUCCUGUACACUCCAUCGUUAGCUAUUAGAGGAGAUCGAGCCUAGAGAGACGAUUAGUUCUAGAUCUUUGAACUUUUUGGUAACUUGUUGCCAAAGGGGGAGAAGUGUAUAGAUCAAAUGGGGCUUCAAAAGAGAGAGCUUUGUUUUUAUUAGAUCUCAUUUGUUUUUUCAAAACAUUUGGUCUUUUUGAUGACUUUAUCUUUUGGGAGAAGUGCUUGAUCAUACACUUUGAUUGUUUGAUGCUACCACGUUAUUACCUUUGAGCUAUCUACAUGAUUAUCAUUCACUUUCCUACUUGAUGUUAUGUGCAUUACUAUUCAUUCAUAUCACUUGUGCGCACCACCAAGGUGUAUGUGAAAUGGAAGAGUGACCCAUGAUCCUAAUCGAUUGUGCAUUUGCAUUCAAAUGCAAAAUGUUAAAUAAUGCACAAAUUUAGGGGGAUGUUUUGUUUUUCACAUACUUCUCAAAGUGUGGAUGCUAAUAAUUGAUUAUAUCUUUUAUCGAAGCUUUGAUCUAUAUGUUUUCAUCAAUUACCAAAGGGGGGGGGAGAUUGGAAGCAAAAUUGCUCCCUAAGGUGGUUUUGAUAAUUGAUCACAUCAUAUGCAUCAUUGGAAUAAUGAUCUUAUCCAAGUAUAUUUCAGAGAAGUUCAAAGAUGCAUUGGCUAAAGUAUUGUGAGGACAAACCCAUUGAUGAAGGAAAGGAACAAGAUUGGCUCAAGCUUCAAGCAAGAAGACUCUACAUUUUACAUUUUUGAGAAGUCACUUUUGAGUACAUAGGAAAGAAAAUACUAUUAAAAGGGGGUGAGGUAUUAUGAUGAAUUGGUUGCUCAAGUGCUUAGAGAUGGCCACAAAAACUAUUCACUCAUUCUCCCACAAAAUAUCUGUGUCCAAAGCCAAACCAGCAAAAUAUGUGCUACCAACGUUUUCCACUCGGCCCUACCGAAUUUUCACUAGACACAUCCUUUGCCAAACCCUAUCAUCUCGGUAACACUAACAUUCCAAAUCGGCGCCACCGAGAUCAGUGGCCAACUUUCCAUUGAGCAAAUUCCAAGAAUCGGAAUUUUUGAGAUUUGAAUCGGUCUCACCGAGAUUUGGAAACUGCUCUAGGUCAUCGUAUCGGUACCACCGAGAUUUAUAUAUCGGUCUCACCGAGAAUUCAAAAGUUGCCACAUUUAGUGCAACCCGGUACCAUCGAAAUUCAUUUCGGUGUCACCGAGUUAGUAAAUAAUUUUAUAAUGGUUGGAUUUUGGGGGAUGCCUAUAUAUACCCCUCCAUCUCCUGUCAUUCAUAGAGGAAGCACUCAAAACACACUUACACUUGUGAGAUCCAUUUUUCUAAGAGAGAGAGAGCCACCUACACAUGUGUUGAGAUCAAGAGAUUCCAAUCCAGCCAUUUGAAACCUGAUCUCUAGCCUCCCCAAGUUGCUUUCCACAAAAUCAAUGUCUCCUACCCAUGCCAAAUCUGUGAGAGAGUGAUUGAUUGUUGAGGAGACUAUCUUUUGAAGCACAAGAGCAAGUAUUUCAUCGUUAUACUGCACCUAUUACCUUUUGGAGGGUGGUGCCUCCUAGAUUGGUUAGGUGUCGCUUGGGAGCCUCCUACUUCGUGUUGUGGAGUUGAACCAAGAAGUUUGUAAGGGCAAGGAGAUCACCUACUUCGUGAACAUCCACCGUGAGUGUGGCUAGUCCUUUGUGGACGUAAGCCAUGGUGGAAUAGACAAGGCCAAUUCUUCGUGAACCCCUUGUGGGUGGAGCCCUCCAUGGACUCUCAUAGACGUUCUCCUCCGUGGGUUAAAGUCUCCACUAAUGUGGACGUGCGAUACCACCACCUAUCGGAACCACGCCAAAAAUCGCCGUGUCAACCUUUUGUGUUUGGUCUUCCUAUCUUACCCUCUACAUUACAUUUCGCUGCUAUACCCUUAUAUAUGCAUGUGUAGGGUGAACUUGACUAGUCAUAAUUUGGAAAACUGGCCCAUAACUAAAAUUGGGAAAAUUCUAAGUUUUUGUUUUGUCAAGUAGUCUAAUCACCCCCACUAGACAUACUUCGGAUCCUAAAGAUGUAUGGGAUGAUCAUGUUUUGUAUAGAUUAUCACGACUUGCAUGUCGGUGAGUAAGGAAGCCGACACAAGCCAUAGGGUUGUCUUUAAUUAAUUUGUGCCUUUUUUGCUUUACUUUAUUGCUAUGAGUUAGCAAUAGUUGUAGAAGCAUAGUUGGCGCAGUAACCCAAUGGCGACACGAUGAUGGAUUUCAUGAUGAGGAGAUCAUGGUGUUAUGCCGGUGACGAUGGAGAUCAUGCCGGUGCUUUGGAGGUGGAGAUAAAAAGCACAAGAUGAUGAUGGCCAUAUCAUGUCACUUAUAUGAUUUACAUGUGAUGUUAAUCCUUUUUGUUCAUCUUAUUUUUCUUAGGACGAUGGUAGCAUUAUAAGAUCAUCCCUCACUAAAAUUUCAAGAUAAAAUUGUGUUCUCCCCAAGUGUGCACCGUUGCGAGGGUUCAUCGUUUUGAGACACCACAUGAUGAUCGGGUGCGACAGACUCUACGUUCGUAUACAACGAGUGUAAGCUAGUUUUGCAGACGCAUAACACUUGGGUUAAACUUGACGAACCUAACAUGUAUAGACAUGGCCUCAGAACACAAGAGAGUGAAAGGUUAAACAUGAGUCAUAUAUGAGAUAUGAUCAACAUGGAGUUAUUCACCAUUGACACCACCUCAUCUCACGUGAACAUCGGGCUUGGGUUGGUGGAUUUGGAUCGUGUUACACUCAGACAACCUGAGGGAUGUUGAUUUGAGUGGGAGUUCUUAAGUUAUAUGAUUAAUUGAACUUAUUAUCAUGAACAAUAGUCUAAGUUAUCUUUGCAAAUUAUGUUGUAGGUCAAUGGCUUGUGUAGUAGCUCCCCUAAAUUUUAUUGCGUUCCUAGAGAAAUCUAAGUUGAAAUAUGAUGGAAUUAACUUUGUAGACUCGGUCCAUAGAUCUGAGGCCUAUCCUCACGGCUAUGCAAAAGGCUUAUGUCCUUGAUGCGCUUCUUGGUGUGAUGCCCCCUCCACUAUCGUUUGUGGACGUUGUGAACGUCUGGUAGGCACAUGCUAAUGACUACUCGAUAGUUCACUGUGCCAUGAUGUAUGGUUUAGAACCGGGACUUCGAAGGUGUUUUGAACAUCAUGAAGCAUAGGAUAUGUUCGAGGAGUUUAACUUUGUUUUUCAAGAAAAUGCCCAGAUCGAGAGGUAUGGGACCUCCAACAAAUUCUUUACCUGGAAAAUGGAAGAGAACAGUUCGAUCAGUGAGCGGAUACUCAGGAUGGCGGGGUACUACAACUGUUUGACUUAGGUGGGAGUUGAGAUUCCGCCUAAGAUGGUCAUUGAUAGAGUACUUCAUUCACUGCCAUCUAGCUACAAGAGCUUCGUGACGAACUAUAAUAUGCAAGGGAUGAACAAGUCCAUCUCUGAGAUAUUCGCGAUGUUGAAAGUCACGGAAGUAGAAGUCAAGACGGAGCAUCAAGUGUUGAUGGUGAAUAAAACUACUAGUUUCAAGAAGGGCAAGGGUAAGAAGGGUAACUUCAAGAAGAACAACAAAGAAGUUGCCGCUCCUGUGAAGAAACCCAAGGCUGGACCCAAGCUUGAGACUGAGUGCUUUUAUUGCAAGGGAACUGGCCACUAGAAGUGGAACUGCCCCAAGUAUCUGGCUGAUAAGAAGGUUGGCAAUGUCAACAAAGGUAAAUAUGAUAUACAUGUUAUUGAUGUGUACCUUUCUAGCUCUCGUAGUAGUGCAUGGGUAUUUGACACCGGUUCGAUUGCUCAUAUUUGUAACUCGAAAAAGGAACUACGGAGUAAAUGGAGGCUGACAAAGGACGAAGUGACGAUGCACAUGGGAAAUGGUUCCAAGGUUGAUGUGAUCAUCGUCGGCACGCUCUCUCUUCGAUUACCAUUGGGAUUAGUGAUGAACUUAAAUAAUUGUUAUUUGGUGUCUGCGUUGAGCAUGAACAUUAUAUCUGGAUGUUGUGUAAUGCGAGACGGUUACCUGUUUAAAUAACAGAAUAAUGGUUGUUUAAUUUAUAUGAGUAAUGUCUUUUAUGGUCAUGCACCCAAUGUGAAUGGUUUAUCCUUGUUGAAUCCUGAUAGUGAUGAUACAUAUUUAUAAGAUUGAUGCAAAAGAUGUAGAGUUAAUAAUGAUAGCACCACUUUCUUGUGGCAUUGCCGCUUAGGUCAUAUUGGUGUAAAACGCAUGAAGAAGCUCCAUGCUGAUGGACUUUUCGAGUCACUUGAUUUUGAAUCACUUGACACAUGUGAACCAUGCGUCAUGGGCAAGAUAACUAAAACCCCCUUUUACGGUACAAUGGAAUGGGCAAGUGACUUGUUGGAGAUCACACAUGCUGAUGUGUGCAGUGCAAUGAGCAUUUAAGUGUGCGGUGGAUAUCGUUACUUUCUCACCUUCAUCGAUGAUUUUAGUAGAUAUGGGUAUAUUUACUUGAUGAAGCACAAGUCUGAAAUGUUUGAACAGUUCAAGCAGUUUUAGAGUGAAGUUGAGAAUCAUUGUAACAAGAAGAUUAAAUUCCUGCGAUAUGAUUAAGAGGAUAAUAUCUGAGUUAUGAGUUUGGCAUGCACUUAACACAAUGUGGAAUUGUUUCACACCUCACGCCGCCUGGAACACCACAACGUAAUGGUGUGUCCAAACAUCAUAAUCGUACUUUAUUGGAUAUGGUGCAUUCUAUGAUGCCUCUUACCGAUUUUCCACUAUCAUUUUGGGGCUAUGCAUUAGAGACAACUGCAUUCACUUUAAAUAGGGAUCCAUCUAAAUCCAUUGAGACGACAUUGUAUGAAUUAUGGUCUAGCAAGUAACCUAAGUUGACGUUUUUUAAAGUCUGGAGCUACGAUGCUUAUGUCAAAAGGCUUCAGCCUCAUAGGCUCAAACCCAAAGCGGAUAAAUGGUCUUCAUAGGAUACCCAAAGGAAACAGUUGGGUACACCUACUAUCUCAUAUCUAAGGGCAAAGUGUUUAUUGCUAAGAACAGAUCCUUUCUCGAGAAAGAGUUUCUCUUGAAAGAAUUGAGUGGGAGGAAGAUAGAACUUGAUGAGCUUACUGAACCGUCACUUCAAACAUAGGAUAGCACGGCACCCAAAGAUGUUCAUGUGGCAACUACAUUAGUUGAAGAGUAAGCUAAUGAUGGUGAUCAUGAAGCUUUAUAUCAAGUAACUAUCGAACCUUGUAAGUCAACAAUGACACAUACCGCUCCUAUGUGGUACGCUAAUUCUAUCUUAGAGGUCAUGUUGUUGGACAACAAUGAACCUAUGAGCUAUGGAGAACCGACGGUGGGCCUGGAUUCCGAUAAAUGAUUAGAGGCCAUGAAAUCCGAGAUGGGAUCCAUGUAUGAAAAUAAAGUGUGGACUUUAGAAGUAUCACCUAAAGGUCGAAAGGCUAUUUAGAACAAAUGGAUCUUUAAGAGGAAGACGAACGCAGACGGUAAUGUAACCGUCAAUAAAGCUGGACUUGUGGCAAAGGGGUUUUCACAAGUUCAGAGAGUUGACUACGAUGAGACUUUCUUGCCCAUAGCGAUGCUUAAGUCCAUCAGAAUCAUGUUAGCAAUAGCUGCAUUUUUUGAUUAUGAAAUUUGGUAGAUGGAUGUCGAAACAACGUUCCUUAAUGGUUUCCUUAAGAAAGAGUUGUAUAUGAUGCAAUCGGAAGGUUUUGUCAAUCCAUAGAAUGCUGACAAAGUAUGUAAGUUACAGCGAUCCAUUUAUGGAUUGGUGCAGGCAUCUCAGAGUUGGAAUCUUCGGUUUGAUGAGGUGAUCAAAACGUUUGUGUUUAUACAAGUUUAUGGUAAAUCUUGUAUUUACAAGAAAGUGAGUGGGAGCUCUAUAACAUUUCUAAUAUUAUAUGUCGAUGAUAUAUUGCUGAUUGGAAACAAUACAUAACUUUUGGAAAGCGUGAAGAUAUAUUUGAGUAAGAGUUUUUCAAUGGAAGACCUCGGAUAAGCUGCUUACGUAUUAGGCAUCAAGAUCUAUAGAGAUAGAUCAAGAAGCUUAAUAGGACUUUCACAAAGUACAUACCUUGACAAGGUUUUGAAGAAGUUCAAAAUGGAUGAGUCUAAAAGGGACUCUUGCCUGUCCUACAAGGGGUGAAGUUGAGUAAGACUCAAUGCCCAGUGACUCUAGAGGAUAGAGAGAAGAUGAGUGUCAUCCCCUAUGCUUCAGCCAUAGGCUCUAUAAUGUAUGUGAUGUUAUGCACAAGACCAGAUGUCAGCCGUGCCAUAAGUAUGGUCGCAAGGUUUCAAAGUGAUCCAGGAGUGGAACACUGGACAACAUUAAAGAAUAUCCUUAACUACCUGAAAAGGACUAAGGAGAUGUUUCUCGUUUAUGGAGGUGAUCAAGAGCUCGUCGUAAAGGGUUACAUCAAUGCUAGCUUUGACAGUGAUCCGGAUGACUCUAAGUCUCACUCCGGAUACGUAUUUAUUAUAAAUGGUGGAGUGGUAAGCUGGUGCAGUUCCAAGCAAAGCAUGGUAGCUGAUUCUACAUGUGAAGCGAAAUACAUAGCUGCUUCGGAAGCAACGAAGGAAGGUGUGUGGAUGAACGAGUUCAUGAUAGAUCUUGGAGUUGUGCAGAGUGCACUGGAUCCAAUGCGCCUAUUUUAUGACAGCACUGGUGCCAUUGCUCUAUCCAAGGAAUCAAGGUUUCACAGAAGCACGAGACAGCGAAAGUGCCGCUUCAAUUUCAUCCGCGAUUAUGUCAAGGAGGAGGAAAUAAACAUUUGCAAAGUACAUACGGAUCUGAAUGUUGGAGAUCCAUUGACUAAACCUGUUCCACAAGCAAAACAUGAUCAACACCAGAACUCUAUGGGUGUUAGAUUCAUUACCUUGUAAUACUAGAUUAUUGACUAGUGCAAGUGGGAGACUAUUGGAAGUAUGCCCUAGAGGCAAUAAUAAAGUGGUCAUUAUUAUAUUUCCUUGUUCAUGAUAAUCAUUUAUUAUCCAUGCUAUAAUUGUAUUGAUAAGAAACUCAAAUACAUGUGUGGAUACAUAGACAACAAAGUGUGCCUUGUAAACCUAUACUGGUCUAGCUCGUUGAUCAAAGAUGGCUAAGGUUUCCUAACCAUAGAUAGGAGUUGUCAUUUGAUAACGUGGUCACAUCAUUAGGAGAAUGAUGUGAUGGAGAAGACCCAAACCGUAAGCAUAACAUUUGAUCGUAUCAAUUUUACUGCUAUUGGUUUCUGCAUGUCAAUGUAUCUCUUCCUAUGACCAUGAUAUCAUGCAACUCACUAACACACGAGGAAUGCCUUGUAUGUAUCAAAGGCUACAACGUAGCUGGGUGAUUAAAAAGAUGCUCUACAGGUAUCUCCGAGGGCGUCUGUUGAGUUGGCAUCGAUCAAGACCGGGAUUUGUCACUCCGUAUGACGGAGAGGUAUCUGGGGCCCACUCGGUAAUACAACAUCACAAUAAUCUUGCAAGUAAUGUGACUCAGGAGUUAGUCACGGGAUCUUGUAUUACGAAAUGAGUAAAGAGACUUGCUCGUAACGAGAUUCAACUAGGUAUGGAGAUACCGGCGAUCGAAUCUCGGGCAAGUAACAUACUGAUGGACAAAGGAGUUGCGUACGAGAUUAGCUGAAUCCUUGACAUUGUGGUUCGACUGAUAUAUAUCAUCAUAGAAUAUGUAGGAACCAAUAUGGACAUCUAGGUCCUGCUAUUGGUUAUUGACCGUAGAGGUGUCUCGGUCAUGUCUACAUAGUUCUCGAACCCGCAGGGUGUGCACACUUAACAUUUCGUGAUGAUAUAAAUAUAGUUGAGUAAUUGUGUUGGCGAUCGAAGGUUGUUCGAAGUCCCGGAUGAGAUUCUGGACAUGACAAAGAGCUUCGGAAUGGUCAGAGGUGAAUAUUGAUAUAUGGGAAGUAGAUAUUCGAGUUUCAGAAGGUUACCAGUUUUGUGAAGGAGGUUUCAGAAGAGUUCCGGGGGUCCACCGGGAGGGCCCACUAGCCCACCUGCCUCGGAGGGCCCCAUGGGCUGUGAGAGGUGGCGCACCAGCCCCUAGUGGGUUGGCCGUCCCUCCCACCUAAGGCCCAUGCGGCCAAGGAGGUGGGCUGGCCCAGAUGUGGCCACCGCCCCACCUAGCUUGGGGGCCAAGCCACAUAGGUGGCCGCCGCCCCACCCAAGGGGAAACCCUAGGGCACCACCCCUCCUCCCUCCCUCCCAUAUAUACUAGAGGANCUCUCUCUCUCUCUCUCUCUCUCUCUCUCUCUUUCUCUCUCUCUCUCUUUGUCUCUCGUAGUUCAUCUCUCUCAUUCUGUCACGGCACCGCAUGGCGAAGCCCUCCCGGGACAGCUCCAACAUCACCGCCACCACACCGUCGUGCUACCGGAAAACUCAAGCUACUAUUUCACCAUCGCUGGCUGGGUCAAGGAGGUGAAGGCGCCAUCGAGCCAUACGUGUGGUGAACACGGAGGUGUCGUCCGUUCGACACUUAAUCGGGACGCUCGUGAUGGCUCGCGGGACGGAUCGUGAUUGGAUCGUGAAGACGUUCGACUACAUCAACCCCAUUUGUUAACGCUUCCGCUUAGCGAUCUACAAGGGUAUGCAUAAGCAAUCCCUCUCUUGUAGCCCUUGACAUCCAUAGAUUGAUCUUGGUGAACGUAAGAAUUUUUUUGUUUCCCAUGUGAUGUUCUACAAUAGUUGUUACUCUUAUUGGUUCGAUAAACCUUGGUUCUCUACUAAGGGAAAUACUUACCUACAAUGUGGUACUUCACCCGUUCCUCUUCCCGAAAAACCCAACGUGGAUCACCAGCAUCACCGCACGUGCUCCAUGGUGGCACCUUAUCAAGUAUGGACUACUAACAGAGGCGCGUCAUCCACCUGAACAACCUUUAUAAAGAGCCAGAUGCGAAAGGAGCAACAAAACAUCGCAGAAUACCGCCGAACAAGCCACUCUUCACAUUUCCCAUCUACACCAACCCUAUCCACCACCUUUUUCCCAUCUCCAUAGACACAACCUUCACCACCACCAUAGUUCUCAGCAAUGUAGUCAUACUUGUAUUCGUGUAAAACACAGACAACCAUUGUAACACAUAUUAUCGAUCAAUCGAUCUUCAUGAUGUGGUGUUCGAUGAGUUCUUCAUGUGAUCUAAUCUCCAUGUGUGAGUAGUUCGGUAAGGUCAUGGGUUUAGGCAAGAGCCUUGUAACCUGAUGUAUUUGUUAGGGGAUCAAAGGAAGUACUUUAUAUUAACAUCGCCUAUGUGUAACAUAGGAUUGUUCCGUAGUUGUCUCUUGUCUCGUUCGCGUUCUUCAUCCUAACAGGUACCCAGGAUCAUGGAGACAGAGAGUCAUGGAGAGGCUAAGGGCAGGGAGACCAUGAAGUGUUAUUCUAAACACCGAUGACCGAAUGCUUUAGUACGCUAAUACAUAUCCUAUACUUGGGGAUUCAAGAGGAGUAGUUAUUUAAAGCCCAAUGCCUUUGUCUAAAUAUUGCUAUCUUAAUUACCGACACAACCCCGCGCAAAGGAUAAGGCCUUUGGUUGGAUAACCGUCUCUUGAUGCAGGACACGUUUUGGUCAAUACAUAAUUUGGACACAUCCCUCACUUUGAUAUGUAGCAAGCACAUCUUGAUGGAUAACUUCCAAAGCACAAAUUAAGAUCAUGAUGAUCCCAACACAAUUAUAUGGUUGUAACACAAAAAAUGUGCCUAGUUUUUAGUAUAAGUGUUUUCAGCAUCAACUUGAUUUAUGAACGGGCCAAAAGCUGGAAUUUAAUUUUCUAGCAAAAGCUUCUUUGAAACCCUAGCUUAAAGGGCACAUUCCUCUCGUGUGUUUGAUAACUUAGGGUCACCUCUGGGGAAAAGGGUGCCAAUCCUUAUUGCUCAAUUUUUGGAUCACCAAAGGAACUAAUCAGUUGUGUAGAUGCUUUAGUAGUAAUCCAUGGUUUUGUGUUUUAAGAUCCAAUCCUUCUACACCACCCAUGUCCAUCGAGCGAUAGAUGAGGUUCCACGCAACAAGAUAAUUCAACUUGACACCAUCGCCAGUCUUGUUCCUCCACCCGCAUGUUCUCGUAAGUUUGUCAAUGUAUUCCACGAUCAUGGGAGGCAGUCUAAGCAUACACAUUGCAUAGAUCGAAAGUGAGGUAUACACCGAGUUGGACAAUGGUUAGUUUUUCCCCAAAUGGAAGCAGGCGGGAGGUGGCAGCGAGGCGUUGUUUCAUCGAGACCACCACAACCAUAAGAUUAACAACACUGGAACGGGUCGUGUCAACCGACAAAUCAAAAUAUGUGAAGGACAUCACCCCCACCGUGCACCCCAAAGAUACCGAGAAUAUGGUUCGCAUCCUGUUGGUUCAUGUUGAUGGGAAUCAAUGUUUACUUAUGAAAGUAAAUCUAGAGUCCAAUCGAUUCAGCAAAUAUCAAGAGAUUGCACUUAAUGCACUGAACUUGUGUUGGGCAGGUUGGCAUGACGACUAGCGUAUCAUACACAUACUAAACCAUGGGGUAGUCCUGGCAUCUCGUGGAUUUUGGCCGAGAGAUCAAUCAUUUGGCAAAUGCGUCAUUUAUCACCGUCUGCAGGAGAUUGUCCGCGAGAAUGAAUAUUAAUGGGGAUAGGGGUCCGUGUAACGCACAUCGCCAUGAUGUCUACUACACAACUUUAUUAUUCUAGACUCUGUUGGGCCUCCAAGCGCAAAGUUUUGUAGGAUAGUAGCAAAUUCCCCUCAAGUUGAUGGCCUAAGGUUUAUUAAUCCAUGGGAGGUGUCGGAUGAAGAUGGUCUCUUUCAAACAACCCUACAAUAAAAUACAAGAAAUCUCUUGUGUCCCCAACACACCGAAUACAAUGGUAAAUUGUAUAGGUGCACUAGUUUGGCGAAGAGAUGGUGAUAGAAGUGCAAUAUGGAUGGUAGAUAUAGGUUUUUGUAAUCUGAAAAUAUAAAAACAGCAAGGUAUCAAGUAGUAAAAGUGAGGAUAACCAAUAUUGCAAUGCUUGGAAAUAAGGCAUAGGGUUCAUACUUUCACUAGUGCAAUCUCUCAACAGUGCUAACAUAAUAGAAUCAUAUGAUCAUCCCUCAAUGUGCGACAAAGAAUCACUCCGAAGUUCAUAUCUAGCAGAGAACAUAAGAUAAAAUUGUUGUACGUAGUAGAACCACCUCAAACAUAUUGUUUCCGAUCAAUCUAUUGAGAUAUUCCUAUAAGUGUCACAAACAACCCUAGAGUUUGUACUAAAACAACACCAAUGAUACACAUCAAGCAACCCUAAUGUACCCAACAGAAAGAACUUCAAAGACUACUCCAAGAUUUUUAUAGGAGAAAGUAGAACACGAACGUGUAUUAACCCAUAUGCGUAGAUUACCCUGUUGCCACCAUGGGAAUCCACAAGUUGAGUACCGCAUAUGUGAUGUGAAUCAAUAGAACACCCCAUUGUCACCACGGGUAUCCACGAGUACCACAUAUAUGAUGUGAAUCAAUAGAACAUCAAGUGGUCUCAAAUCCAAUUUUCAAUCCGACAUAACAAAAUAUCAAGGGAAAGAAUGAAUUCGUCACAUCAAAAAAGCAAGGGACAAACACCAUACGAUCAAACUAUAUUAACAAAGCAUGUGAUACAUCAAGAUCGUGGCAUCUCAAGAACACGAGAGAGAGAGAGAGAGAGAGAGAGAGAGAGAUCAAACACAUAGCUACUGGUACAUACCCUCAACCCCGAGGGUGAACUACUCCCUCUUUGACUUGGAUACCGUCGGGAUGAUGAAGAUGGCCUCCGGUGAUGAUUGCCCCCUUUGGUAGGGUCCUGGAACAGGGCUCUAGAUGAGUUUUCUUAGGUGGUGGAGCGGAAGCUCUCGGUUAACUUAUGAGGGUUUUGGGAUUUAUAGGAUUUUCAGCAUUGGAAUCAGGUGGACUGGAGCCACGGGAUGGACCCAAGCCAUGAGAACGUGCCCAAGGGGUGGGCACACCCUGUUGGCUUGGCACCAAUAUGUGGCCCCCUUUAAUGGUUCUUCGCUCCGGUAUUUCUUAUUUGCUCCAGAAAAAAUCAUCAAAAAGUUUUGGGACAUUCAUUGGUGCAUGCUUGAUGUUGUCAAAGGCUUUAGUGAAAUCAAGUUUGAGAAAACAACUCUCCUUGCAAGAUGCAUGUUAUUAAUGUAGAAAAUCGAAUGACCAUGCGAGACAAUCAUGUAUAGUCCUCCCCUUCGAGAAUCUGUAUUGGUUUCUUUGCAUGAUUCCAGGAUCAAUCUUUGAAGAUGGUUAUCCUGGAGCUUUGUGAUCACCUUAAGACAUAAGUUUAGUAGUGUAAUUGGGUGACAAUCGUUAGGUGACUUAGGGUAAUGGACUUUAAGGAUGGUUGUUAUGAAACCUACAUUUUUACUAGUGUAAUUGGGCGAUAAUCGUUGGGUGACUUGGGGUAAUGGACUUUAAGGAUGGUUGUUAUGAAACCCACAUUUAUUCUUUCCAGAUCCAGUUACCACUUUGGAAAUUGUCGCAUAGCUUGUAUAAAUCAUGCUUAAUAAUGUGUUAACAAGACUCCAAAAAGCAACCAUUGGACUGUUCUGAGCACGGUGAUCGGUUCUCCGACAUCUUCUAAACCACCUUGUCUAUUUCAUCACGUGAGAAUGAAAAGGACAGAUCCUCCUGACUCUCCACCUUGAAGAUUAUCUCGGCGAUAUCAAACUUAAUGUUAGUGUCAAUGGGUUGUCCCAGAUGCUCUCAUAAUUCAUCAUACAAAGCAGCCUCUUUGUCGACGUGAUCGGGCACAACCGUGUGAUCUGGCAUGUUAAGAGAGGCAAGUGAGUUCAAGUGGAAUCUCUCCAUGGCAAUCACAUGAACGAAACUCGUAUUACCAUCACCAAAUUUAAAGUAUCUCAAUGUGCACCUUUUUCUCCAAUAUUGUUGUUUGUAAUCCGACAACUUAAGCGAAUGUUCCUUGAUGAUAAUUCCGAAGUUUGUUUCUAGGGUGGUGAGGACCCUUCUAUGCUGUAGGCCAUCGAUCUGCAGAAGUACCCAAUUUUUGUUCUCGAUCAGUACACCGAGCCUAGAGAUACUUCUACUCAAAUUCUUAAGGUCACAUUGCAAUUUCUUUAGCUUUUGAAACGACAAGGCCACCGAUUUGUGUGCAAAACAAUGUUUAUUCCAUGAGUUCUGGACCACAUCGAAGAAUUAGUGGUGAUUUACCCAGAAAUUCUCAAACCUAAAGACUUUGUAUUUGUGUAUUGAGGAUUCAAUGACAAAACACGCGGGGUGUGAUUCGACAUAGGUUUGCAUUUUGGCAUAACUUGCGUACUGGGGCUUGGUCCUCCAAUUAACAAACGUGAAAAACCAACCAAACGGGGAUGAACUCGAUGUGUAUGUUGCCGAUUUGAGGGUGUCGCGAGGGAGAAAGAGAGGGGGUGAUGGAUCGAGGGCGGCUCUUUUCUUGUAGUGGAGAUAAGAACACAAUGGGGUGUUGUUCAUGUGUGUUGUUGAGGGUGGCGUGUGAGGUGGUGCGCCAGGAGCAAUGGCUCGGCCUCACUCAUGGGCCUCAUACUGGCCUGACGAGUUGCGCGCGUUAUGGAGGCCGGGUGGGAUCGACAGGGCUCGUUGCUAUCGCAUCUACCUCACGUGUUUCGCGUGCUUGGACACACACGAGGGAGGCGUGGGAUCGUUCAGAUCUGUUUCUAAUGAACGAUCAGUCACAAGAUUUCGAUGUCCUAUUUUAAGAUAUCACUUCAUUUCUAACGAGCUAAUGGGUCGAGAGGGAAAGUAUCUGAUGAUUGGUUACCUAUAAAUGAUCCUACAAUUCUAACCUUCAUAAAGUAAAUUUAGACAUUUAAAAAAAUUAUGAUUUUUCUAGGGUUCACAAGACAUGAUUUUACAAGCGCUAAAAAAUCAUAUCUAAAUUUGAAGUUACCAUGGAGAGACAAAAUUGAAAAUCUAACAUGAAUAGUGCCAUAACAUGUAGCCCUUCGGUUGUGCUCAAGAGACUCAAGGAAAUUAUGGUAGCUCGCCUAUUGUCGGUACCGCUGCAAGUCUACCCCAUCUUCUGUGGCCUUAGGCCAUGGAGGAGCGGUGAAUCUCGGCCCUUGCCGGCCAGAAGGCUCCAACUCCAUUUUAGGUGUCUUUUUGUAUCCGUUUGGUGUUUGUGUCCUGCUGAGGAAGUCGAGGCGAUAAAAGCUUCCUAAAGAUGAAAUAAUUUUCUCCCCGCCUAGCCAUGUCCAGGUGGUGCGUCUAGCCUUGUCGGAGGGCGUGUGGAGGUGUGUCUCCGGUGAAUCUCAUGGGAUUCGGUCGACAUUUCUCUUUCAGUGAAUCCGCUUGGAUUUGAUUUUCAUUUGUGUGCGCCCGUGUGUCUACAUGUUAGAUCCUUUCAAUUUACGAUUCUCUUCAUCGACGACGAUUCUUGUUCUUGUGUAUUGGUCCUAUGGUAUCUUAGCACGAUGACUUUUCGACUCUCUAUCACAACAAGGUUUGGUCGGGUGUGACGAGGAGGUAGGAGUGAUGAUGGCGACCAGGCUUUGACUCGCUCGAGUGAUUGUAGUCAUCGCUAGGUGGUCUACGGAUUUAGAUGUAUUACCUGUGGUGGUCAUUCUACUAUCUUGACAAGUGAUGGAUAGAUCGGAAAUUUUCUCGAAAAAAAAUAGUGCUAUAAAAAGGCAAUAGCAAAAAAUGUCACUAUCCACAUAUAUAUUUUUCUUUUGUUUCUCAAUGUUUAUUUCGAAUUUGCGUCUGAAUUUUUUAGGGGUCCUAGACUAGGUUUUGUGAACAUUCACAAUUUUUUGGUAGAAUAUUUAAAUUAUUCAAAUUGGUCUUUUUUUGAAAUGAAAGAUGGGAGCAUGUCGGAAUUGGUAUCUCUGGAUACUUUCCCUGGGUAUAGACUAGUGAGCAGAGACUUACAGUACGUAUGUAGCCGUCUAAUUUUCUGGGCGUACGUGUGUUCCAUGCCACAUGUAGUAGUAUAUCUAUAAUACAAUUUCUUUGCCCCGGAAUGUGUUCCAUGAUGGCCAUGUGUUCCGUGGAUGCAAAUCAGUUCUUCGCCUCCGAGCCACCACUAGUACAGCACUGUAGCCACAGGCAUGGUCACUUCCAAGACGCAAAACCAUUUUUUCAUUUCCCAUACGCGAACUAAGGCCGGAUAUGCAACUGCAGGAUACGAUAUGGUGCAACGAAUGUGGCGGAAGAGGACAAAACCGAACAAGAAGGACAAUGAUUCCACGGAAGAUUAGAUCUCCGAUCCCCUGCGGCACUCCUGCAGUCAGUGACAACUGACAACUGAUGACCAGGCAAAGGACGGGAAUCAAAGGCUGACAAGCAAAGUGACUUCACAUCAUCUUCGAAAAUUGGAUAGCAUCUACUAUAUCUCAAAUGAUUGCGUCCACGGUAUCAUAUGGAAGCGUACGCUUUAAUUUCCUUAUCCGAGGAGGGAGCCAAUGAUGCGGUGCCGUGCCGAUCACAUCAGGCAUGCCGUGGAUGAGAUCAGUAGGCAUCUAGGAGUAGCUACGCUCUCCACCACCACCACCACCACUCCGCCAGGAUGAGUGGAUCGCGAGGAAUGCCCUGAUAAAGAUGGCGAUCAAACGUAAAGAGUGCGAUCGGGCUCUGGGCCUACGGGCGGAUUUGCGUGCCAAUCUUAGUUUUGGCCACUUCCGGUUGGUACCUACGGACCUACCUACUCGCUGUGGGUCGAUGGAUGCGCAUGAACAUGAUGCUUCUCGGGGACGCUUGCAAUUGCGGCGCACACAUUCUCCUCGUGCGAGAUCGACUGAUCGAUCGUUGGCCCACCGGCAUUGUACCACACAGAUCUGCUAAGGCUCGACUGAGCUAAACAUCCCACCUAGUAGCUGUAGCGCGAUCCUCUUUUGCCAGGUCCUGGCCGCUUUUCUCGCCCGAGGGUUGUGAAGCAAGGAAGGGAGAAAUGAAUGUCCCAACUCCCAACUGUAUUUAGGAGCCCUUUGAUAGCCGGCAUUAAGGUUUAGCCAGACCCGCGCAUAAUGAUUUUGACUUAUUUGAUUGUUCAGGGCACAUUAAAAAAAUUAGCUCGCACGAAAUAUAAAGCAUCUAUGCGCAUGCAUACCAAAAACGGUCGAAUCAGAUGUUUUUUUAGAGCCAGUCCCAAGCGUUGCAACCCGAGGCACGUGGGUGUGGACGGUUUGUACGCGUUGAUGCGGAAUCGAGACAUCAUGUUGUUUCCCGAAGCUCCGACAUAAACUACCGUCAAUUUCCUCCCCUCACAGCUCUCUUCCCCUCUUCCCCACUCACAUCAACGGCGGUGAGCACCAGAGCCUAGACGCCUGCGAGCAUGGGAUUGACCAGCGCAUCGGCAAUGGCGAUAAGACCUUAUCCUCUUUUCGAUUUACUGAUUGGCAUAAGGGAAACACGGCCGAUGAAUCCUAGAAUCCACCGGUUUCACAUGGUCCUUUUUGGAUUACCAGUGGGUGAGGAUUUUGGUAAAACAAACUUACAAGCAUCGAUCCUAGCAGCGGCAACCUUGAAGUCGCUUAGAAGGGGGGGUAGCUUUUUUCUUGUCUUUCCACCUCCUCCACAACACCAUUUGGAAUCUCGUCCUCGUCGUUUUCGCUAUGAAUGAUGGGUCUUGCACAGUCGUGUGCCGCCGGCACCUGAACACCAUUUGUAGCGCAUAGUGGUCGUCCUCUGGCGCCGUGUAACAUCCGGACACACCCGUCGAUGGUCGUUACUCGUGGCGGGAUCUAGACUGGCUCCAAAGAUCAAUACUAGUCUUUUCUGCACAGUUUGUCCACACUCAUGCGCACCCGGGACCAACUUCCCAAUCGGUCACCCAUCCUAAAUCUACUCCAAGCCAAACACGCUUAACCUGGGAGUUCUCUUCGAAUUGGCUCCCGGAAAAGAAGGAAUUCGCCCUANNNNNNNNNNNNNNNNNNNNNNNNNNNNNNNNNNNNNNNNNNNNNNNNNNNNNNNNNNNNNNNNNNNNNNNNNNNNNNNNNNNNNNNNNNNNNNNNNNNNAGAGAGAGAGAGAGAGACGGAUCGUAGUAGCAGCUCCUAUCUCCCAACCUCACGGCGACACGACCCUGCUCCGCCAUUUGAAAACAAAGGAGGCCAAGGCGCUGUUUUCCUGCAGCGGAGCGACUUUGAUGUGCUUCGAGUUCGAGCUGGCGGACCAACGUGGGCCGCACGGCAGCGGCCGGGCGGCGAAGGGCGGCGACGGGGCGGCGCCGGAGGGAAUGACGACAAUGGCGAGCCCGGCGGACCUCAUGUCGGGCUACUACCAGGCGCAGGAGAUGUCCACGAUGGUGUCGGCGCUGUCGCGGGUCGUGGCGGAGGACGACCCGUGGGCGGCGGCGUCCGGCUCCGGCUCCGGCGCGGAGGGCUGGGGCUGGGAGGAGCAGGCAAUGCACGCCGGCGCUGGCGGCGGCUACGUGCACGAGCUUGGGAGCUUCCCUUCUUCAGAGUUCGCAGGUAACGAGCAGUCAACACACGCAUGCUGUUGCUAGGCUACGCUUCGGCCUGCUCUAGAAGAAGAGCUUUGCAUGCUCUUUGCUCUGCUUUUGCCUUGGAUUUGAUAUUUGCUCCACCCAGCUGCGCAUGCUCUGCUUUUCCCCGAUUGCAUUCUUGCAUGCUACUCCAUCUCGAAACGUGGCAGAUAAGCUGAUUUUUCUUCUUCGCGAUAUUAAUAUAUUUAAGAUGCAUUCAGAGGUUUACCAGAAGUAUCAUAACAAGCUUGUAAAGAAGGAAAAUGUCGAUAUCCAUGGGUGCAAAACAACAAGUUCUAGCAGUAUUUUACAAGAAUAUAUUUUAGAUAGAGGUAGAAAAAGGCCCGGGGAGUAUAUAUAGGAGUAUAACUUAACUUAACCAAGAAGACAAUCGAUGAAGUUGGAACCUUUACGUUUCUAUAGUUCUGAUCAAGUCAUAAAGAAUCGGUGAACACGUGUAGUGCUAGUUUUGGUCAGUGCAGAGCCCUAGGCACAAAAUGCAGACUCAUUUCUUUGAAGAAAGAGGAAAAUGCGUGCCCAACAUGCAAGCGUGCGCAGGUAUAACAAACCGGUCGUACUACGUACGAAUGGCAUGUAGCUCAAAAUCGAAACGUUGGACGGAACCGAGGCGCAUGGAUUCCUCGUAGCUGACAUAAGGAAAAUGAAACAAACCCUAUCUCCAAACCUCACACACCCCAUCUGCUGCACAGUUGUACGCCAUUGAACCAAGUCUUAAAAAAAAUGGACAUUGAACCAAGUCUUGGAAUCCACUGCACCUCUACAACGCAACAAGGAUGCAAAGGCAUUCCCGUGUGAACACCCUUCAGGUAGCAUUUCAUCGUACCUAGGUACGUAUAAAAUACAGUGCGUCGGUCUUCGUAGUAUCAUGUACACGCACGUGUCAUCGACAUGCCUGCGUUACGCAUACCAGCGCCAGCGAGAGUACAGCCGAUAGAGAGCUCAUUUCUUUCCUGAAAGGGCAGGGCAUUUUUCUUUCAUCCCCUUCCUUCUUUUUCGCAACGAAAAGCGAUUGGAAUUCUGCGUUCGUGCUUAUCACUUUGCUGGCAGCAUGAAUACUCCCAUAUCUUUUCUCUUCUGCUUUCCAGUUCAUUCUCGAAAUGAACUCCUCGGUGAUCGGGACGGGCGCGUCAUUAACAACACCCUGCGAGUCGCGCUCCGGUGCACAUUCACUGCAUGCGGGGCGCGAAAACGGAGCAAGUGCACAACUUGAACCGCGCUUUGCAUUCCUUCCGCUUUCGAUUUGCUUCGCGCCUCGUGACUUGGCGAGACCGUGUAUAAAUAUGCUUCCGCGUGCGUGCGCAGGGUCGGACCAGAGCUCGGACACCCAGGGCCAGAGCGCGGCGACCAUGGAGGAACACCGCUCCCGCUCCCCGGCGGCGUCCAACGCGGCGGCGGAGGCGGAGGCGCCGCGCCGGAGGUACCGCGGGGUGCGGCAGCGGCCGUGGGGCAAGUGGGCGGCGGAGAUCCGGGACCCGCACAAGGCGGCGCGCGUCUGGCUCGGCACCUUCGAGACGGCCGAGGCCGCGGCGCGCGCCUACGACGACGCCGCGCUGCGCUUCCGCGGCAGCCGCGCCAAGCUCAACUUCCCCGAGGACGCGCGCCUGCACCCGCCCACCGUCGCCCCCGCCGCCGCGCCGAUCGCCGCGGGGUCGGCCUCGCCGGCUGUCUACGCCGCCGGCGCCUCCCAGGCCUCCGACUACCUGCGCUACCAGAUGCUGCUGCAGGGCAGGGGCGCCGCCGCCAACCAGGGCAACCUUCUCUCGUUCUACGGAGGCGCCGGCGGCGGCGGCAUGAGCAGCUCCUAUGGCGGCGGCGGCAUGAGCAGCUCCUAUGGCGGCGGCGGCGACGGCGGCGCCAUGAGCGGUUUCCUGGGCUCAUACUACUCGUUCCCGUCGUCCGCCGUCUCGGUGGCCACCGUGCCGUCCUCCUCCUCCGCGUCCUCUGCACCGGGGCACUACUACUCGUCGUCGCACGACUCGCAGCAGCAGCAGCAGCAGCAGGGCGACGCGGCGGCGGAGUGGAGCUGGGAGAGCGCGCUGGCGCCCUACCCGGGGACGGCGGCGGCGGCCUCCUGGUCCGGCUCGAGCCAGCAGCAGUACCACCCGCCGCACACCCAAUAGCGCCAGAGCCAACCAAGAUUCCGCGCCGUCUCCGGACGGACGGAAGAAUAAGGCGCGUACGGACGGCGACGGCGACGGGCAGCAAGCGGAAGGGAGCUCCAGAAUGAUGGCGUCACACUCGGGGUCGAGGGAUGGCAUGUGUUGAUUGAUGACAGCCGUGGGCUCGUUUUGUUGGUUCGUUGAUUAGUUUGGGUGGGCAGUGCCCAGUUUUUAGUACUUUCUGCUUUGGUUAUUGCUAUUACCUACUGCGAAAUUAAGCGAUGGAACGGAAGAGCGAGCGUGACCGACAUGCUUUUUUGCGAGUGGAUGCAUUUGGGAAGGUUUAAUCGUGUCAUUUGGGGCAAAUAAUUGUUUGCUGGCAGCUGGAUUUGUAGCGUGUUCUCUGCAAAACAUGGCAUGGAUUAACUCGUAUCGAUUUUCAUUCAGGACUUGUUUGGUACGGGUGGUUUUGAAAAGAUUGGUGAGG